UUGUUAGAUGUUUUACCAACAGCCAAUUCAUCAAUUUUAGCAAGCCAUUUUGGUUGUGUUCUCAGCUUAUUCCAGCAAUGCAUGAACUGGAAUGCUCUUUGAUGUUCGUCUUCAGACUUGUACAAAGCACAUGCCUUUGCAACCUGCACACACCAACAUCCAAGGGAUAUUCAUAUAUGAUAUAUAAACAUAAAAUAGUCGAAAUAAAACCUGGUACUGCAUAGUGAGUAAAGUACCUUAUCUUAUAUUGUAGUACCACUCUGACGUCUUAACUCAAUUCGUGAUAGACAUCCACAAAAUUUGUUCACAGCUUUUUGUAUGGUCUCCCACCGAUGCAUCAGCGAAUUCAUGGUACGCGUAGAGGGGCACGUCUUGUGUUCAUUGAAGUACUCAUAUAUACGAGACCAAUACUUGGCACCUUUUUGAUCUUUGCCUACGACCGGAUCCAAGCUUACAUUCAGCCACCCAGAAACCAAAACCUCAUCUUCGUGGUCACUGAAAUUCUUGGAUCUCUUAUGGUUUGGCCUCGCGGAAGGAGCUGCUGGAACUUCUUCAAUUGCCUGUGACUGUUGGUCAACAUAUGUGUUGCUAUAAUUAUGAAAAUCCCCUUGAUUGGUUUCAUCCGUCAUCAUGUUGGAAAAAUAUCCAUUUCCUGCAAGCAUUUAAUCACUGAUAAGCUGAUGAACAGAGGUUCCUGGAAAAAAAUGGACAGACAGCUAGUUCAUGGAACAUGUUCUCUCUAUAAUCCAUCCUCUAGUAAAGUUAGCUGUCAGCACAUAAAUGUCAGUACCACUUAAGAGGAUAAUAACUAAGUAAAGGCCGGUUAAGAAAGAGUUGUGAGAAGAUGCCAUUGGUAACAUGUCUAAAAAGGUGCAUCUGUUGGAACCUGUGCAGCUCUGUGUAUUUUUCAUCUGUUCACACACAGAGAUCUAUGUUUUUAAACUAGCUGUAAUUCCAGUUUGCGACUGAAGUAGAGGUUUCAUUUGUUCUCACACAGCAUCUGAAGUAAAUAUUCUUUUCUACAGUCUUCUUUUUUUUUUUACAAUACACAGGAGAGGUGUUGUGUAUAUUUGUAGUUCUUUUGUAGUUUGAUUUUGACCAGCACCAUGUUGAACCUACCUUCCAUAAUCUGUCUUUGGUUGGAAAAUGCUUCAGUGAACCAGUUGUAAUUGAGUUUAUUUGUAUGAAAAAACCAAUCACAUUUGAAUAUGAUGGGGAACACACAAGUCAUCUGCUACAAAACCAAACACUAUAUCGCUUACUUCACUGUAAAUUAGAUUUAUGAUAUCUAAGAGCUCAUUAUGUCUGUGUCUGUAGGUGCCUUUUAAAUGCCUAACAUAGCAGCCUUUCUUUUUUUGGAGAGUUGGAUAUUAGCUACAGUUCUGACUUCCUGGUGUUGUUAUUUGAAAGAUAAAUGCCUAAAAUAAACCUAGUACUUUGUAAUGGCGUUCUUAAUAAUUUUAGAGCCUUUAUUUGUUGAAAUAUUCAUUGUUGGAUGACUAAUCACUUGAGAAGGAUCAUGGUGUAUAUCUGAUAGACGUCUCUUGUUGACCAUGUUCAGUCAUGACCAAGAAAGGAAUGGCAUUUUCAUAACAUGUUACAAUAAUUUAUAGCCACACAUUUGGUUUAAUCUUGCUUUGUGUUCUCCAAUAUUCAGAUGACAUAGUUUUUUUUUAAUACUUGAGAAGGAUCAUGGUCAUGGGUAUUUAUCUGGUAGAUCAAGCAUCAAGCACAUAGGCCAGCACUCAGCAUUUCAGAUGCACCAUAAAAAUAAUGCACAGCAUCAAGCACAUAGUAACAUCAGCAGCUCAGGGAAGACUAGUACAAGAACUACAAGAUAUGACGGGUAACAUAAGGCUUAAGACUUUCAGCACGAAAGUACAGCCACCAUUUUCAACUAAUUAGAUGCUAACUUGGCUACAGCAGCAAUCACAACCGAACAGCUUCAACAUAGACUUAAAAUAUGAAUUUGAUUGAUGAAUUUCAACAAAACAUGAGAACCAUACCGUUCAGAAAAGUGUUGCCAUCGGCCAUGUGCUCAAAAGAUGCAGAGGGGGUAUCGCUACCAAGGUACUGCUGCACCAGGGGAUCAUUGUCGUCGCCGGCAAAGCCUACCAUCGGAAUACAUGGUGGUCGUAAGUAUAUGGUAAUAUUACUUAGAGAAUGGUUGUAAGUAUACCAAAAGAACUACAAUACUUGACUGCUGCGGCAUGUAAUUGAUUGCUCUGUGAAGGAAUAAGUUAAAACACAUUUCAACUGAAGAAAUUGAACUUUCAUCAGAGUCUGAAAUGUUCAUGUUUGGAUUGCACACUGAAAUUCAGAACUGACUUGAAGCAACACUACAUGGAGCUUUACAACUUUCAAAUGACCUUUUACAACAUAGCCUUGAAUCAUGCAACUUUUAGGAUGUCAAUUAAGAGAGAUUGUAAGCUGAGUUCAAGGUUAGCAACAGAUAACUUCAAGGCUUAUCACUGGAACAACUCAUCUCUAGCUAUACAACACACCACAACAUGAAACAAUACAUGCUCGCCAAUUAAAAAAACAUGGAAUAUUAGGACUGCUGAUCUAUCCUUUUGCUUUGACAAUUUCUGUUGGUUUGAUAUAAUUUUUUGGCAUGCCAUCCUUUUCAGAAAAAAAAACUAAAGGUUAGUUUGAAUAUAAACUAACAAAUGGAAUUAUCAAGAACUAAUUGCAUGAUUCAUAAAUGACAUGUACUAAAAAUAUGAAGGCUGAGCUCACACUGAUCACUUGUUCCAUAACAACUGAUAGUACCAUUUUCUAGAUGACUUCAGCACUUGAUUAUAUCCUUUUGCUGCAAAUUUGUGAGCUUAUAAGUGCAAUGCUUGUGGGUUCAAAAAAAAAACUCCUGCCACCACUGCUGCAGUGUAGCUUCACUACACAAUGAGGUGCACACGAUGUGUGAAAUGUCAGAUCAAAGUAAUCUCAAACUUCUUCCCUAAUUUAAAGAAUUUGGUUGCUACAUAAUAAAGUAAUUUUUUUGUAAUCUAUGGGAUGAGCAGAGAGCAGCAGGCAUGGCAUGCACGCAAGGCAAGGAACAAAUUAAUCUUCAUUUUGCUCAAUUUACAAUUUCAGCCUAGCUACAAUUCCCUAACACAUCGAUCUCAUUCACGAGGUCCUAACACAAGAAGUACCAGAUUCUGAAGUGUGUUCCACCAAGAUACUCACCGCCGGCAAAUUGCAAAUCUUGGACACCGCCGUUCCAUUGGGCGUUGGGGCCGCCGACGGCCAUGACCCGACGCAUCUGCUGCCUGCCGCGCCGAUCUUGAACUUGCCGGACGGGAGCACUCGACAUUGGCGGAAGACGUGCGGGGGGCACCGGCCGGGGCGGCUCCGGCCGCCGGGCGGCCUUCAGCCGGCAGCGGCCGCGGGGCCUUCGGUUGGGCGCCGGGCGGGCGGGCGCCGGGCGCCCUUCGGCCGGGCGCGGCCGCGGAGCCUCCGGGCGGGCGGGCGCCGACCAGCGCGGCUCCGGCCGCCGGACGGCCUUUGGCCGAGCGCGGGCGCAGGGCCGUCGGGCGGGCGGCCACCGGACGGGGGGGCGCGGCCGCGGGGAGCUUGGGGCCGGGCGCGGGCGCGGGACCGCCCACCGGUCAGCGAAUCUUGAGCGCCGCCGCCGCUGCCUCCGCACGGGAAAAUGGCGCGCGCGGUAGAAAAAAAAGGCGCGCGACUCCUGAUCUGGGCGCGCGAGAAAGGGAUUGGGGAAGGAGAGCGCUCCGGAUAUUUGCGGAAGAAACAGACGUGGAUGCGGGUGGCUGUAAAUAUACGGGAGUUUUAGGGGAGCUGUUGGAGCUACUUUUUUAAUUAUUUUUCCCUAUUUAAGAUUUUGGGGAAGUUUAAGGGAUCUGUUGGAGUUGCUCUAAUCCGAGUCUGUCAGCGCCUCAGCGGCGUUUAAUGUGCUACGAAAUUGCAGUAGAGUACUAGGAGAAGAGACGUCAAAGAACAAGGUCUUUUUCUGAAUUGUUGCCAUGGAAGUGGAACUCAUGGCUUACUACGUGACACGUGUGUAUCGGUGUGCCUGUGCCGUGUCAGCAUCACCCAUUUCACGUCCAUGCUACGCAACGUACGUACAAGCGCGUCGCAGAACGUACAUGUUUUGCCCUCUGUCCACAUCAGGUGUGAUCCAACACGCACGCUCCCAUUCGCCAACACAACGUCGUGGCGCGCGUCGUUUCCUCCAUCUAACACCACCUUCCACUACGGCAAGCAGCGUCACUGCUAGCCAGCGCAUCAGGAGUGAUCCCACAGGCUGACGCCUUCCUCGUCGGCUUCCAUCAUCGGCGCCGCCGCAGGGCCGAGCGCGGGCGGGCUCAUCAUCAGCCCCUCCGCCAUGCUCAUCAUCAGCCGCGGCAUCUCGAACAGGUCGUCCUCGUCCACGACGCCGCCCGCCGCCAUGGCGUCGCCGCUGUCGCCGCGGAGCUCGUGAUGAUGAUGACGACGGCCGUCCAUCGCCGCCGCGGCCGCGGCAGCCGCGGCCCGGACGUCCUCGGCGGAGGCGGAUGCCGGCGCCGGGCGUGAGCGCGCGGCGUCGGGGAAGUUGAGCGCCGUGCCGGCGCCCCGCAGCGCCAAUGCGGCGGCGUCGUAGGCCGCGGCGGCCAUCUCGGGCGUCGGGUACGUGCCCAGCCAGAUCCUGCUGGGCUUCCGCAGCUCGCGGAUCUCCGACACCCACUUCCCCGCCCGGAGCCGCACCCCGCGGUACACCGGGUGCCGCGUCUCCGCCCGCGCGCGCCGCCCGCAGGCCCUCUGCUCCUCCAGCCUCCGCUGCUCCAUCCAAGAUCACCAACCACUCAACCAGCACGAACACUCCCGGUCAGACAACACCCGCUCUGCAUUGCACCCAGCACACGCCCGAGACAACCGUGGCUAGAACAACACUGCAACCACAGCUAGUAGCCGCAUGCACGACACGACGAAGCCCAAGCUGAGCAAGUGACGGCAGAUUGGCAAGGCUUGCGAUGAUGUGAUCAACCAGAGCCCAGAGGAUAGUCUAGCUAUCUAGCCAGCAGACUACUAUUUACUGCUAUCCCCUAGCAGCUAGCGUACGUCCAAAUGAUCGAUCUCGGGAGGGUUUAAAAAAACCGGGGAGGCGGCCGGAGUUGGUGAAAACAUUCUCGACGCGAGCACGAGGUGACGGAACGCGUUUAUUUCCUGCCCGCUCAACGCUCAACUAGAGGUUAGCUGUGAAGCACAGCUCGAACAAAAAGCGUGGGCCUCACCGAGCUUUCCGUCGGCCCGGCCAACCGGAGCUCGCCACCUCGCCGCGCCGGGGUUGCCAUCUCAGGCCUCGGAAAAGCCGCUUUUUCUGCUAGUGCGCGACGAGGUUAGCAGUACGAUCCCCUCGCCUGGGGGUCAUCCAGGUGGCUUCGUCCCCAGCUCCGGUUCUGAUUCGACGGGCGCUGGACGGGUGAUAACGUGACAUGAACCCACUGAUCUGGGGUUUGGUUUUGACCCGUUCAAGGACAGUAUAAUAAGGGGGUUCAUCACGUAAAGGUGAAUCGAGUAGACGAUGAUGAUGCGCGGUUCUUUUGUUUUCUUCUGCCACCUACCAUAUCCAGUACUAGAUUACGCGGGCGGUGCUGCGGCUUUGCAUGGCCAGAUAUUUCUGCCUGCGAUUGGCGAGGAGGAAAUCUGUGAAACCUCUGUAGCUCUCCAUGCUCGUGCGUGUGUUCAUAUGCUUGAGCUGGAAAGCACGUGCUGUCGAUUUCAGCUCUUUUCAAACGCGGUAGCCCGACGGUCACAACUCGUAAGCCGCUAGCCGCCUGAAUAAGCUCUGAGAGAGAGUUCACUGAAACUGAAUCACGACAUCAAACUAUGCAUGACAAACUUGUAUCUAGAUAUAUAACAAAAGUUGUGUAUCAAGAAAAACUAAAACGAAUUGUAGUUUAGAACGGAGGGAGUGCAUGGUUGGGUGCAUGCCUGUUCAAAAGAAGGUCUCUCUGUGUGUUUGUCUCUCGAUCCAUCGAUCGCGGAGAGAGGUCUAAAUUCAACUGCAAGUAACCAGCUUCGGCGAUCACGUUUAUCUCUGAUCCGCGAAUAGCCAGGCAACAUGCGCGGCUCAAUCUAGGCCAUAUAUGGUUCCCCAAGUGGUGGGUGUGCGUUGUUUGUGGGUGUUGGGACCGGAAGAAUUUAGCAGAUGGGUGCCCGCAGGCCCACAUUGUGAUGACGCUGCAAUCCAUAUUAGCAUGCAUAGAGUAAAGUUUAAUCCAACCAUUUCUGCUUGCAUUAUUGCUCCCCUCUUGUUCUUAUCCUCCAAAUAGUAUUGUCAACAUCCGGAAGGGAAGGCUUUUGUUUCUUGUUUUUCUUCUUCGCAGUUUUGGCAGCCUCAUGCAUGUUCUGCAAGCUUCCUGAAGCUGACCAGGUCUAAAGAACGCUACCACCCAAGGUGCAGGGACGACAAUGCCUGAACUUAUGUGCCUCUAUCCAACGCACGCACAUAGACGUUGUGCAAAAGUUUAGCGAAAAUAUCUAAAUUACAUUCACACAUCCACAAAAAGAGUGAUGGUUUAGUAUUGAGUGUUUGAAUAUUUCUAGGGCAACGAUAAGGUACUCCGAUUACCUCCUAAGAGGUACUAAGAGUUAAAAUAAAUCUAAGCGAGAAAUAAAAUAAUUAUUUCCUUUUAAUUGCACGUUUUUGUUGAGUAUACACAUUUUUUAAAGUUGUAACGGGACCUCAAAAUUGCCUUUAUUCGAGUGGAGAAAGGUAUACAAGUCACGUCAGGGAUUGUAUUGAUUUUUUGUCACGUUAAAAAAACAGUUACAAUAUAAUCACGUUAGUGAUCGGAUCACCUUUUCCUUUUGGACGUUGCGAAAGAAAUGAGAGCGUUCGUUUAUGCCACGUUCCAACAAAAGAAGUUAGAAGAAUCACGUGGCAAGUUAGAUCUAAUAUAUAUGAAGGUAAUUUCCAUGUUUAUCCUAUUUAAAAUAAAAAAUAUAAAUAUAUAUUUCUCCUAAGAUGUAUGGUCCACAGUAAUUUCGGAGUACCUCAGCAAAACCCUCCUAAGUAAGAGUUCAACUUAGUAAUGAAGUUGUAUGCCUGUAUCUUAAUGUUCUGCCGAUUACAUCUCAUCUCCCAAUGUGCUUGACCCUGAAGUGAAUGUGCAAUAACAACAUCACUCUAUCUGUCUGAGCUUUAUCCAAAAAAAAAACUGAGCUCCAAAAAAAGUCAUCAAUUACAGUUGGAGUAGCACAUGUUUUUUAUGAGCUCCAACACAGAAAUUCAUUCCUGCUGCAUGUAAUACUUUUUCCUUACUUUUGCAAAGAGGAAGGUGCAAUAAGUAAGUGUGCUUCAUAUGUAUUUACUUGUUAAUAUCUGGUGUAUUGAAUAUGAGAAGGUUCUAGACAGGAAACACAUGUUUGCCGUGUUUUAAUCAUAUUGCCUGCUACAGCUUCUUGAAUAUGUUAGACUUGUGAUGCAAAGGUCUAUGAUUCGUUGUACUAGAAUAUGAUGACUUGAUGUUUGCCACUUGCCUUAAAGUAAAAUAUAGAUCCAAUCUGAAUAUUACUUGCAAUUAAUGUGCUUAAUUAGUACUUUGAUCACCUUAAUUUCAGCCAAGUCAAAAGGACUUGUGCACUAAUUAAAAACUUUGUGUUCACAUGUGAUGUUUGCUCAUGGACUAAUUAUGUCCUCAUUAUAUCGUAAACAAUUAAAAAAAUUUAUCACCUAAAUUGGAACCACCGUAUUGCUCACGCGUGGACCCACCUAUCAUGUAUUUGAGAAAGAGGAUAGGGUGCAAAUUCAUGAAAAUUGAGAGUUAGAAAAUGUUUCUGCCCGAAAACCAAAUUUUUUUCUUACCGCGACUCCCUUUACCCGCUGAUCGUACCCGCGUCUUGUCCGCGUCGAUCACGAACAAAUUCACGCCCGCCGCACGUGGCCCAUCCAUCUGACUUCCGACCAUCCCCAUUCGCACUACCCCUUCAACCCUCCUCAUACGAGGUACCCGCUCCGUCGCUGGAUCCGGAUCGGGUGCGGGUGCGGGUUCGUCUUCCAUGAGCGUCGUCGCCGUGUCCCGUGUGCGGGCUUUGACCUCCAUGCAAAGAAUGCCCAGGCACGCACCAAUCUCCCGUUCCAUAACACCGUACGUCCAUCUACUGCACCAAGCGCACUGUCAGUCUUACGUUCUCGUGGAUCCACCUCGAUCCGCGGGUCCGCCUAGGUCUGCACCAGUGCAGAUGGCACACUUUACAAUUUGACAUACUCCUCCGUGCCUGUGCGUUGAGUGCUGCUAGCAGCCUGCAGUUGCAAGGAGCAACAUGCCGUCCAAGAAAUUGGGCGGGCAGCUCGCAGGAGAUUUCGAUCAUGGGGUAAGAUUUCGAUGUAAUAUAUUCACUACGACUGAUUGAUUAAGUGGUAAGAUUAUUCUUCUACCCUCCGGAUCCCAUCUAAAUUCAAACGUCGGUGUGAUUGUAAAACGUUGAUUAAUUCAUCUGCUUGCUUGUUCCCUUUUGCCUCUGUUUAUUAAUCAAGCAAUGUAUUGCUCUUCAGUAUUCAUGAGUGACACAAACAAAGCUCAUGAGAGCAAAAACUGAAACACUGGAAAUACUCCAUGUAUUAAAUGGCAAGUACGUACAGAAUCAUUCUUUUUAUGUGUUGAGGUGCUGCCAAUUGAGCCGACGUCAAUGUACAUACGUUUUGUUGACAUAGCAGGUUCCAGGUUGGCAAGCUGAGAACGGCGUUGGCCGGAGGUCAAGCACCUGCGGGCUGCGGCAGCAUGACCACCUGCUGGUUGUUUUCCUUGGAGCGCGGGAGGCCCUGGUGGUGAAUCUACGGGGGUGUUUGGAAGCACUCCACUUCAGAAAAAAUUGCUUCACUCCAUCAACUCCAAAAUUUUUGAAGCCAAACGCGUCUAGAUCCAGCAACUCCGGCUCCAGGAAAAAGGUGGAGCAGGGGGUAGAUCCACGUUUUCUAUGGAGUACCUCAAGAGGUGCUCCAAAAACCUCCUUUUCAGACCUCCUUAUGGAGUUGGGGUUAUUUACCCACCAUUGCCACUUGUUACACAAGUUACCGGUUUGUUUCUGAUUUUUCUAUCUCCUCCGUCGUCUCCGUUUCCUUCUCCCACGGGGCGCAGGCCGGCCGGGGGCGAGCUCCCCCGCGGCGGCGCGGCCAGGGCGCAGGCCGGCCGGAGCGAGCUCCCGUGGGAAGCGGGCGUCAUGCGCGGCGACACGGGCGGCAACGGAACAACCCGUUUGAUCGAUCGAUUCCGCGAGCGGCCGACAGGCGGGCAUGGCGGUCGUGGUGUCGGCGGCGACGGCAAGCUGGGAGAUGCGAGUGCUGGCAGUGCUGGGACGGUGAGCGCGCGCCGUUCCGCGUGCUCGUCCGCGCGUGGGAUCUGUACGUGAGCCGGAUGGCGGCGUGCGCGGGCGGCUGCGGCCAGUAGGAGGCCCGGUGGGGCUGGUGGCGAUGCCGCGGUCCCAGAGCCACGAGUUCUACCGGUCGGUAGCGGGGCCAAUGAUGACGUACAGGAGCUCAUCAGGGCAGCCUCCCGCGCCGGCCUGCUCAGGGCACCCAGCGGCGUCGGGUCGUGGAGCCAGAGCGUGGCCAUCGGGCGGAUCGACGAGGACCCGGGCGUGCGAGUUCGGGCUGGAGGACGGCUCGCUUGGCCUCAACGCCGCCGCCGGUGCAAACGCACUUGAAGCUGGAACGUGGAUGGCAGGACAAAUCUGAUGUUCGUCCUGAUAAAAAAAAGAAGCGCAAAAAUAUGACUCCUAUAGCAUACUGUAUACGUGAAGUACAAGUCCGUCUCUAUGUCUCGCUGCCGAUUGUUAUUUCUUUUCUGUCGAAAGACCUGCCGAUAGCAACUGAAAGUGUAUGUAGUUCGAAAACGUAAAGCAAAAUUAUUCUGUUGCUCCAGGGAGGAAGAGAAAGGGUGGAGAGAGGAGAGACAGAUAUGUGGGUUCGUUGAUAAGGGGUAAAAUAGGCUAUUCACAACAAGUGCUCAUAUUUUUGGAGCUGGAGCACUACCACCAGCCAAACACGUGCAGCAGCUUCAUAUUUUUCUGGAGUUGCUGGAGUGGAGCUAGAAAAGUGUGGAGCUGGUGGAAUGGAGCUGAUUUUUUUGAGUGGAGUGCUCCCAAACAGGCCCUAUAUAUGGAAGGCGCCUUUGCCGCGAGGUUCUGUUUGCGGUGAUGAGAUUUUUUAAGGGUACAUACCACACAACCACGCACACCACACUCAUACCAGACGCACACACACGUGCAUAUCUAUACACACGUUACGCACGUUAUAGAAGAGAUUGGUGAGACUACUGUUCUCGUUAUGGAAGUGAGUUGUAAUAGAAAGUGUGGCUCAUAUGAAGGUUAAAUAUUUGGAGCGCUAGAGCAACAAAAGUAUAAGCGUGAGGCACCAGGAGGACGGUUGUGUCCUGGUCGAUUUUGGGAGUUGCCUGGCGAGGAGUAGAGUUGCAAUGCUAUUGAUGUAGCAUGCUUUAGUAUUGUCUGAAUUUUAUUAACCCACAAAUUCACAUAUUUCUUUACUUUACCAUUGCAGGAAGGACUACGGGUAGUGAGAAGAUAUGAUAGUGUUAUGCAUCAUGUAUGAAUAUAAUGUUUCUUCUAGGUUCAAUCUCCACCCUUUCUUAUUUGCAUUUUAUUAACUAUUUAUAAAGGAAUAUCUAGCUUUUUUGCGAAAAGGAAUAUAUAGCUUGUGGUAAUAUUUUCUCUUGCAAAGUUUUGGAUUUCCUAUGAAUCUAGAUUUUCUAUUUAUAAGAAUUUUUAAAGGCACUACCUUAGAAAUCUGAGUAUUUAAGGAGAAAUAAAUAAUUAAAAAGGCAAAAAAGUUAUAAUGUGCAGAGGCUGGAUGUUUGUAAAUGAUACAAAGCAGUUUCAGUGUUAUGACUUUUUUUAAAUGAGUUUUGUGUGUGUACUGUUGGCUAUUGGUGACUGUUAGAAUAGGUCAGAAUCCCGUGUCUUUUUUUUAAUGCUCUAGAGUCUUGGUUUGUAAAAGGAAGGCUAAUAGGUCCGACAAUUACUGCAAAUAUGUAUACGUAAUUAAUUUUACUUGGUAAUUCAUCCAAUUAAAAGAGUUAUUAGAGGUAUUUUGAACUUUUAGUAUUGGUACUAUCUUGUCUAUAAUUUUUUAAAUGAAUAAUGAGGACGGAGGGAGUAAUCAUUAAUAUAUCUCUAUCCUUGGGUGAAAAUAGAGUUACAAUUUUAGUACAUAUCGUAGACAACAAGAUUGUGAUGGGCCUAAAUUAAAAAGAACGGGCCAACUGAAGUUUGGGUUUCUUCAAGUAAGCAGGCCAAAAUUUGAUGAGCCCGAGCCACUUAUCACACAUAGGCACAUAGCCCAUGGAAGACUUUUGUGCAACUUCAGCCCAUUUUCUUAGAUGAAGAAAAAUACAUACCCAAAUUGGGCGGGUUUCGUUUGUUUGCUGGCUGGGCUAGACUAUCCAUGCUCGCAUCGGCGGGCCAAUUUAGCUCACUCUAAGUGGUGAGAAAAAAAAAAGCUGAAAACCACAAGCUCUUUAUGAGCUUGCAGCACAUCCAAUGAUCCAAACGACUUGUCAAUGCCAAUUUCUUGCUUAGUUAGAGGAUGCUUGGUUCCACGGACUAAAGUUUAGUGGCUGUCAUAUUGAUUAGGAGAACUAAACAUGAGCUAAUUAUAAAACCAAUUGCACAGAUGGAGACUAAUUCGCGAGACGAAUCUAUUAAGCCUAAUUAGUCCAUGAUUUGACAAUGUGAUGCUACAGUAAAUAUGUGCUAAUCAUGAAUUAAUUAGUCUUAAUAGAUUCAUCUCGUGAAUUAGCCUCCACCUAUACAAUUGGUUUUGUAAUUAGUCUAUGUUUAAUACUCUUAAUUAGUAUCUAAACAUUCGAUGUGACAGGAACUAAACGUUAGUCCGUGGAACAAACACCCCCUUAGAUAACAUAGUACUAGCAAAAGAUCCAAACAUGCCUUUUAUUUCAGUCUCUCUAUGGGACAUGUAGCCAACCAUUCGUUAGCCGAAGGCCACGAAGGAAAAGCUUGCCAAUAGAUUAUGCCAACAAAUAACUCAAGUUCAUGUGACUUACUUUCUCCGUUCAAAAUUACAAUACGUUCUCCUACAUCAAAUUGUUUGAUCUUAACCAAAUUUAUUGAAAAAUACACAAACAUCUACAAUUUUAAACUACUUUCAUUAUGGAUACUCCACGUAACUAUUUGAUAUUGUAGAUGUAAAUAUAAUUUUUUAGUUAAAGUUAGAUAAAUUUAUCGGGUGAUGAAAAAAUGACUUAUAAUUUGAAAAAUAAGAGUAAUAACGAGAGGAAAAACCUAAAUACGCAACCUAUUAAAAACACCCACCUUUGGAAAUAAAUAAGAAAGAAACGUGUCAUUAUCUCUGAACCAUGAUGAUAGUGCACCUGAUUUUUCAAAUGACUCAAAAGUGAAAAGAGAAAAGUGCAUGACUAUUUUCUCCUCGACAAAAGGGACACAGACACACAGCAGGGACCCUGACCUGACCUGAUCCGUGACCGCUUGCAAUUUGCAAAGUGGCCAUAUAUCUCUUAGGGCAACCAAAGGUAUUUGGACUAACCAAAUAGAUGGUACCAUGUCAGUUGGGCUUAGUGGAUACACCAGCACAUGUCACAUCGGAUGUUUGAUACUAAUUAGGCUAAUUACAAAACUAACAAAUGGAGUCUAAUUCGCGAGACGAAUCUAUUAAGCCUAAUUAGUCCAUGAUUUGACAUUGUGGUGCUACAGUAACCAUUUGCUAAUGAUGGAUUAAUUAGGCUUAAUAGAUUCGUCUCGCAACACAGGUUUCUACAAUAGUUUUAUAAUUAGCUCAUAUUUAGUCCUUCUAAUUAGCAUCGAACAUCCGACGUGACAAUGCUAAAGUUUAGCACCGAGUAUCCAAACACCCUGAACCACAAUGCUUAAGGUCUGAUGGGCCAGAAAAUAUGACCCACCAGCAAGUGUUUGUUUCUUUAGUCCCUCCUAAAAUUUCUAUCACAUCGAAUGUUUGAUACUAAUUAGGAGUAUUAAAUAUAGACUAAUUACAAAACCAAUUGCACAGAUGGAGACUAAUUGGCGAGACGAAUCUAUUAAGCCUAAUUAGUUCAUGAUUUGACAAUGUGAUGCUACAGUAAACAUGUGCUAAUGAUGGAUUAAUUAGGCUUAAUAGAUUCGUCUCGUGAAUUAGCCUCCAUCUGUGUAAUUAGUUUUAUAAUUAGCUCAUAUUUAGUCCUCCUAAUUAACCUCCGAAUAUUCGAUGUGAUAUGAAUUUUAGGAGCUCCUAAAGAUCCAAACACCCCCGAAAUCACUAAAACAGCCUAACCGCCCCUACCUCCCCUCUCGCGGUUCCUCUUCCUCCCGAGGACCUCUUCCCACCGCGACAGGAUCCGGGCGACAACCACCUUCCCUGGUGGCGCCCUCCCAUGAGCCAGGCCAAGAUCCUCAUCAGCAAAUCGAUCUCGAACCUCCUCAUCUUCCCCAAGCUCCGGUCCGGGCUCCUCUUCCCCCAAGCUCCGGUCCAAAUACACAUAUUUAAAUUAAAGAUCCAAACAACAUGAUACAAUACAACAAGACAUCCACUGGUUAUUAUCUAGGAGGACUUUAAGCAUCCUUGGACUGUGAAGACGAAGGUUCCGCUGACCCAGCCUCAUCCUUAGGUUUAUUUGUGCCGCCUGAAACGGUAGUACUAAGUGGACGUGAAACACCCGGGACUGAGGUUUGAGCAUAACGACCACCAAAAGGAGGUUCCUGACCCGCGGCAACCGCUUCUUCAUGACGUUGCUGCAAAUAACGAAGCAUUGCUUUUUCCAACGUGCUCAUUUUCUUCGGCUUAUGCUGAGGGCCAACUAUGAUUUUCCCCUUGCCGAAAGAGGAACCACGAUCGCCCCCACCAUCGCCACUUCCUCCAGUAGCAGAAGCCAUCUAUGUACAAAAAUUCUUUCCUUAGCAUUGCAGAAGUUGUUGAACUUGAAGACCGUGAUCAUCUCGCGAGCAUGUUCUCAACUGGGCGGCACCGCACUUUGUCAUGAAAGAGGUUAGAUGCUACGGAAAAGGGGACACGGUCAUGAUGUUCGUAUCCACUCUUUCUCGUAGAAUCGAACCUUCUUCUUGACAUACGUUGCUGCUCAGCGGAAAACAUCCUCGCAGAGAUGAACACGGUAUGCAAGUUCAACAAGUAUGGAUUUGAAAAACUUUAUUGAAUUUGAUAAGAUAAACCGUCUAGACAAGGUAGCAUCAUUCUUAAACCACUGCAAGAAUACAUACUAUAUAUCACACAUCAAUCUCACUCACAUUCUAGCUCAAAAUACCUCUCCAUUUUCUACUUCAUCACAUUCUAGCAAUUAAUCUUUCCAUCUCCAAAGCAUAAAUCAAAGCAUAACACGAGGAUGAAGUAGCAAACCUUCACAACACUUAUGUUGGCUGAGUGAAAUUCCCACGAAAAUGAGGGAAAAAACUUCGGUCAGCACCUCCCUUGCUUCGGCACCACCGGAGAGUAGGUGAAGCUCAACUCUCUGUCUAUGUGCUGGACUGGCUCGGACUAGAGGAGGAAGAAAGGCCUCUGUCGUGAUAUAUAAUGGGGAUGAGUUUUUAUCCCGGUUAAAAACUCCAACCGAGACAAAAAGGAACACCUUUUGUCCCGGUUGAAAGUUUAGUCCCGGUUGGAGCCUCCAAACGGGACAAAAGGGUGCCGCCACCGACGCCCCGGAACUAGCCUUUAGUCCCGUUGCAAUUACCAACCGGGACUAACCCUCCCCUCCAUUUUUACCUACCGUGGUGCACCCCCUUUUAUUCCGGGCCAACUUUAAACCGGGACAAAAGGGGGCGCAUCAAAAGCCAAUUCUCUACUAGUGAAUGGCAGCCGCUAGACCCGAUGAGAAUAGCCCCAUCGAGCUUUUUCACUUCGAAUCCAGGUUCUUUCGGCCGAAUCGAGCUCGUUCUUGGCGCUAAUCAAGCUAGCCAGGAUUUGGCGCUAAUCAGACUUCCUUCCACGAAUUUGGCUCUGGUGGCAGGAGCCAAGGCGGCCCUCCCCGAGCUCGUGGUGGCCGGCCCUCGUCCAAAUUCGCGCUGACGGCGGGAGCAGCACCAGCAGUGGCAUCGCCCUGGGAGGGAGUAGAGGUCAGGGAAGAGAAAUGAUAUUUUAUUCCAUAUGGCCGGUUCAUGCAUAUUUGGACCACUUGCGCAAUGCUUUUGGGCAACAUUAGACACUUAUUGAUCCUGGUCCACCGAGAAUGACGCGACCCCUGCACCCCACAAACGUGCCACACGAUAAGCUAAGGCCUUGUUUGAAUCCUUGUUAAAAUUUAGCGUUUGUCAUAUCAAAUAUUCGGAUACUAAUUAGGAGAAUUAAAUAUGAGCUAAUUAUAAAACUAAUUGUCGAAGUUCUGGACUAAUUUGCAAGAAUUAAUCCAUCAUUAGCAAUCGUUUCGUGAAUUAGCCUCCAUCUGUGCAAUUAGUUUUAUAAUUAAUCUAUAUUUAAUAUUAACAUUCAAUAUGAUAAGAACUAAAGUUCAGCGGUCAGGAAACAAGCAUCCCGGACAAACAGCCUAGCAACGAAAAAGUUGCAUGGCGUGGCUCCCACCCGACAUGACAAAAUAAAUGCAUGCAAUAUUCUUGCCGAUGCAGAAGAAUAAAGGAAAAGCUAGUAAAGCCUAGAAAGGCAAUCAUUCUAGCGGUGGUGGAACGCGAAGAGGAAAUGUUGCUUCUUGCUCUGGACUCUUGGAGUGGAGUCCUGUGGCCUGAGCAAAAGUUGGCUGAUCCUUUUCGUUUUUCUCCACGGCAAGCGAGGAUCAGAACACCAGAAUAGGCCGGUCCGCCAGUAGGUCGCUCACUCGCUUGCGCUGCAGGUCGAUCGGUCUCCUUCACCAAUUAGAUUUGGGAUAGAGAUCUUGAUUUUUUUUUGCAAAUGGAGCCAAAUAAAGGUGAUGUUUUUUUUUACGACCGUGUCUUAGCACGUAUUUCAUUAAGAAGGAAGCAGAUUACAGGCACAAACCUUGAGGUAGCCAAACAGAACUUGGCAAACACAAGAGCACAAAUAACUAAAAAUAGAGAAACACUGAAGAAAAGACACAGCCAGCAAGCGUCCGAAGCAACAACCACAACAAACUGACAGUAAAAGAAGCACGGGGGGCGGGGGAGGACACCCCCAAUCCCGCCACCCUAACAAUGCUACCCUAAGAGUUGAACCUACAAAAGGGAUACACCGUCGCCAAAGAUGCCUAGGGAGAGCAAGCUCGAACUACAAAACGGUGGCGAAAACAUCCAUCAAACAACACGACCACUGCGGCAAAGCAUCCGCCAGAGUAGAUGAACGGCGGCAAAGCAUCCGCCUGGACCAACUAGUGGUGGCAAAGUAUCCACCCAAACAGCAUCAUGGCGGCAAAGCAUCCGCCCAAGCACACGGUGGCAAAGCAUCCACCUCAACUAAGAACGGUGGCAAAACAUCCACCCAACGACCACAACCUGAGCGGCGAAGCAUCCACCCAUAGGAAGCACCAACAGCACGACAGGGCGGCAAAGAGUUUGCCAGAAGAUAGCAAUCCAGGCAACCAAGGCGAUAAUGGACAAUUCAAAACGAAGGCAGGCACAGAAGAAAAUUUUCCCCGUGGAGAGUUGACGAUGACCACCACCACGACAACUGCAAACUGGCGUGAACUUCCAAGAUGACACCUCCAGGGAGAGAUACGACGCCACUAUCGCCGCCGUCGCCCGACCUACACAGUCAGGGUUUACCCCCAGGAAGCUUGCAGGUGCAGGAGGAGGGAGAGGCAGAAGAAUGAUGCUUCCAAGGAGGUAAACAGCGUCCGAGGGCAUCGCCGUCAUCUGCUGCAAGCAAGCAGAGAUUUUCUCCUUGCCCCCACCCCCCGAGCACGCCACCAACCUUCCAGAGCCACCGCCACACACCAAGGAGGAAUAGUGGUGGCCUACAGCAGUGGCAGCAGCCGAGCUCGCCAGACGCCACCACCGAGGCCCCAAAGCGUGGAUCUGGGCACGGCGAUGACCGGCAGCCCUUGCGACUCCCGAGUCUCGACUGGCGACUGGUGGCAUGCGGAUCCGACGGCCGGCGACAACCGGUGGGGGUGCGACAACGACCUCGGUGGGGGCCAGUAGGGAAGAGGGAGAUGUGGGGAAGGGCCCUCCCCCGGUAGUAUGUGCAUCUUCUGCUCCUCCUCCGACUGGUGGCGCGCAGUGGAAGGCGGCAGCCAAACGAACGAACCCUUGGCGAGGCGCAGGUCGCCCUGUCCCAUCCCACACCGAGACGAGACGACAUGGCAGCGGAGCAAGACAAGGAGGAGCCAUUGCGUCAGGGGCCCAAGCCAGGAGGCACGAAUCCGAGUCGUAGGGAGGCGGAUCCAGUCACCGGUGCCGGCACCCAAGGCUGCCCCGGCGACCAAGGAGGAGGAUGACUGACGGUGGAAGCAGGCCCUCCUAGCUUGGGAUGCGCGGAUCUGAGCCCCGGGACGGUGUAUCCAGCGACACCCAAGCCCUCCAGUGGAAGACAGCUAGCGGUCAACUACGGGCGCAAGGCGACCCGAGGAGGGCAGAUCCGCGCCGGUGGCAGCGAUGCCGGACCCGUCAGCGACACACGCCGGUGGCAACGACGGCAGCAAAAGCAACCAAGCGACCGAGGUUAGGUACGGUGAGAGAGGGAGAGAAGAAGAGGAGGGGAGAGGGUGGCGACACGGACACCAACUUCGGUGUCGCCGCGGGCCGCCACUAUCACUGUCGGCGGCAGCCCCCCGACUAGGGUUUGAGGGAGCUCGGCGGCGAGGCUCGGGUCGCCCCCGAGUCGUCCAGGAGAGCGACGCGGGCGUUCGUGAAGCCUAGAAUGUCCUUCCUCCACAAUAAACGUUACGUUACGGCUUACAUAACAGAGAUAUGCACAUGUGCAUGUCGCUGAGCUUUACAAGUUUCGGCUCGUUGCCACCGAGCUUCUUCUUCCUCGAGGACCACGGUGCUCUAAUGAGAUCUCGGGCAGUCUGCAGGCGUCCGCGUUCCUGCCGGCUUGAGGCUUCAGCUGAUGGCUGAUGCUGAUGCCUGCCGACUGCCGUGACCUGCAUCUAGUCUAUUCCCGCUAGGGGCAGCCAUCCCAUUAUUAGAGCCGUGCAGCGUCCGUGCGGUGCGAAAUUUCCACCUGCUUUACUGUUUUUUUACCGGAAAUUUACACUUGCUGAUGACGCCGACCUCGUCUUAUCAUCGCCCACCAUUGCUGACUUGAUAGUACUAGUUGCUACGCUGUUUUUCUUGUGGGGGUGGGGGCAACGCCAAGUCGCCAAUGGCGAUAUAAUAGAUUUGACUUCAGUUGACUGCCGUAGGUUUGGGUUAUCCAGUGUGAAAGCACCUGGCUUAUUAUACUGUGUCAUGCCUGAGAUUAGUACUGAAAAAAAUUCUGAUUUGAAUGUGUGCCGGACUGACGGUGUUAACUUUAACAAAUUGUUGUUUGGUCGGACCACGUGCCACCCAGUAGUCCAACACAUCGGUAGUAGAUCGAGCGUGGCCGUUGCCUUAGGGGGCACCUAAUUGCCUUUCGAGAGUAAUCAUUCGCCGAAGAGUGGCAAUCACUUGUGACGUUUUGGUGCACCUUAUUUUCGAUAUAAGAGUUUUUAUAGGAGCAUAUAUGUCCACUUGCAGUAUACUUGUAAACACUAUACUUCCCACAACCAUGUGCGUACAAACACGUAUACAUGUAGUCAAAGUAAUUAGGGUCUGUUUGGGAAAAAGGGUGUUAAAGUUUAACAGAACUUUAACACCCUCAAAUGAGGUGUUAAACUUUAGCAUCUUAAGGUGUUUGGAUAAUUUGUUAAACUUUAACACGUUAUAUGAGAAAUGACAAUAUUGUCCUUCCUCUUGCACACUACCCUUUCCCAUGCUGUUCCUCAUCUCCUCGCUCAUCUCGACCGUGGGGCUCCUUGUCGAGCCGCCCGCGGAGGUGCUGCAGCUCGGCGACUUCAACGACGGCGGCCGCCUCAACAUCGAUGCCUCCGGCAUCCAGGAGACUUGCGGCGUCAUCUUCAAGGUCUACAUCGUCAGCGGCCACGUCACCUGCGUCAAGCGCCGCAGCCUGCUCGAUGUGUCCCCCGAGGACGACGCAUCCGCCGAGGGAUUCGUCUCCUUCUCCCAGGUCUCCAACCUCCCUAGGCGGAGAUCUUGCGCGGGCCUUGACGGCGGAGGAGAGGACCGGGGACGGAGGAGCCGCACUUAGGGGCCGACGGUGGUGAAGGAGAAGCCGCUCGCUGGCUCUCCCGCGCGGCCGCUCGGAGCCGCUCUCCGCGCCCGCGCCUACUCCCGCCGAAGCCGCCUCCCGCACCCGUCGCCGAGGAGGGGGAUCCGUGGCGGCGCGGCGGAGGAAGGGGGAGGGCGGCGCGGCAGAGGAGGGGGAGGGCGGCGCGGUGGAUCCGGCCAGGCGGAGAGGAUGAGGCGGAGGAGGAGGCCGGCGUUGGUGGCGGGGAGGAGAGAGAGAGGGGUAACCUGGGAAAAAGUGGACUAGGGGACCACUUUUAACACCUUUAGCAAGUUUUAACACCCCCUCCAUGUGUUUAUGAAAAAUGGGGUGUUAAACUUUAACACCUCACUUUUAACACAAGUGUUUGGAUAGGAAAGUGUUAAAAAGUGUUAAAAAGGGGUGUUAAACUUUAAUACGAAGGACCUUAAUACACCCAUCACGAGAGUUGAGACGGGACAUACAAUCCCUGAUAAGGAAGUGUAAUGCAGAUAUUGUUGUGAUGUUGGUUUUUCCGUGGGUGACUUUACUUUCUCGCUCUGUCAUGGAUCUCAAACCACAAGCGACUAGUAACAAUUGUUCAUUCAAUUGGCUCAAAGCCGAUAAUCACAAGCCGCAAAGUGUGUGAGAGAGAUGCCAAAAGAUACUAUGAGAAUUUAGAGGGUGUUUGAUACUAGGUGCUAAACUUUAGCAGUAUCACAUUGGAUGUUCGGAUACUAAUUAAAAGGACUAAAUAUGAGCUAAUUAUAAAACUAAUUGUAUAACCCUGUGCUAAUUCGCGAGACGAAUCUAUUAAACCUAAUUAAUCCAUCAUUAGCAAAUGGUUACUGUAGCAUCACAUUGUCAAAUCAUGGACUAAUUAGACUUAAUAGAUUCGUCUCGCGAAUUAGACUCCAUCUGUGCAAUUAGUUUUUUAAUUAGGGGGUGUUUGGAAACACCCUGUUAAAGUUUAACACCUGUCACAUCGGAUGUUUGGAUGCUAAUUAGGAGUACUAAAGAUAACCUAAUUACAAAACUAAUUGCAUAGAUGGAGUAUAAUUCGCAAGACGAAUCUAUUAAGCCUAAUUAGUCCAUGAUUUGACAAUGUGGUGCUACAGUAACCAUUUGCUAAUGAUGGAUUAAUUAGGCUUAAUAGAUUCGUCUCGCGAAUUAGCACAAUGUUCUGCAAUUAGUUUUAUAAUUAGCUCAUGUUUAGUCCUCCUAAUUAGCAUCCGAACAUCCGAUGUGACACUGUUAAAGUUUAGCACCUCAUAUCCAAACAGCCCCUUAGCCUAUGUUUAAUACUUCUAAUGAGCAUCCAAACAUCCGAUGUGACAUGUGCUAAACUUUAGCACGAGGUAUUCAAACGGGGCCUUAUCAAACUUAUUUGAUAGUGUCGCCUAGUAGUAAUCUUUCGCAAAAGAGCGACAUAUUACCUAUCAACCACGUGCUACCUAGUAGUCCAACAAAUUGGUAGUAUAGUGUGGCCAUUGCCUCGGUAGUCCCCUAUUGCCUAUCGAUAGUGAUCUUUCGCAAAAGUCACAAUCACUUGUCAUCUUUUGGUAUUACACUUUAGGUCUGUUAGAGAAGUUCUUACACGUGUAUAUGUGCCCACUUGCACUAUAUUUGUGAAUAGCAACCAAUGCAUAGUAGUAGUUGGGAUGGAUUCAUCAGAUAUUUCCCGCAACCACGUGUGCAUACACACCUUAUCCUUUUUUUUCAAUUUUUAGUUCGUUAAAGAUGAUUUCAAUCAAUUAGCACAAGCUGUUGGUAAAUCACUGGGGAGGAGAAGAAAAAAAAAGGAAGGUAUUUGUCAAAAGAUACUCUGAGAAUUUAUUGUGAUAAGGAUAUAGGUUCCGUUUGUUUCUUUGGUAGCUCAUAAAAUUCCUGUCAUCGAAUGUUUAGUAAUUAAUUAGAAGUAUUAAAUAUAGACUAAUUACACAACUAAUUGCACAGAUGGAGGCUAAUUUGCGAGAUGAAUCUAUUAAGUCUAAUUAGUCCAUGAUUUGACAAUGUGGUGCUACAGUAAACAUGUGCUAAUGAUGGAUUAAUUAGGCUUAAUAGAUUCGUCUCGAAAAUUAACCUUCAUCUGUAUAAUUAGUUUUAUAAUUAGCUCAUGUUUAAUCUUCCUAAUUAGCUUCCGAAUACUCGAUGUGAUAUAAAUUUUACUUUACACUAAAGAUCCAACCACCCCAUACUCAAAUAAUUGAGGAAGAUCCAGUCUACUAGAGCAUUUUAUUGUCACUCAGCCUGGCACGAGGGUCACAACAGCGGGGCCAGCGGGACGUUAACCCGCAGCGUUCUUAUCUGGCCGACGGGCCGAGCACGCUGUGAUCCUCUCACUCCACAGAGCUUAUCAGCACCUUCAGCUGGCCUGGGCGCCUGGCCCUGCUCGCUUACCCCUAAUAGCCAAUACGGACCCGAAAAGCACUUGUCAAAUCAUGCUUAGCCCUCACCUCGCCAUCACACAGCACCGACAGGGUGUAGAUGACCAUAAGGCACGAGGCCCGUGGACCAGCCCACGGCCCGAUUGGCCCGGUACCAGCCCAGCCUGGUACGAUCUUAGUCGUGCUCGGGCUGACCCAGCCCGUCCUUAGUGCCGGGCUUGAUCGUUGCGUCAGCCUGUGGGCCAGCCGGCUUGGCACGAUUAACAGCCGGCCCGCCAGAGCACGAUGGAGGCACGUUUAGUGACGUUUAAGUACGUUUAGUUGUAAUUUGUAUAUGUGUUUGUAUUUGCAUUACCUCUAAAUAUAUAUAUGUAUAAAUGUUUGCAUGUACAAUACCUUUAAAUUUUUAUCUUCGAAAAUUUAAUUUUAUGAAUGAUUUUUUUUAAGCUGAGCCGGACUAGAAUGGGCACGAUGGGCCUUCAUGGCCCGACAGGCCACCGAGUCGGGUCGGCACGGCUAAUAGCCCUUAGUGCCGAGCCUGGAUCGCUGCUUCAGCCCAUGGGUCGGCACGGCAUAGCACGGUUAUUAUCUGGACUGAAUCGUGCCGGUCAAUCCGUGCUCGGGCCGGACUGGACCAGACAGCCUGUUUGGCCAUCUGUACCGACAUGUCGCCCCGGCGCCUGGAAGGUGGGGAUUUUAUUCGCGUGGAGCUCCUGUUCACAUAAAGGGCACGCAUCCAAAUCACGCGGAACCAGCGCGCAUCCGCCGGCCGGGACUACGGAUUUACGAGCGUCUGAACGCCGGGACGCCGCCCGGUUCGCUCGCCUGUGGAUUUGAAGAGCCUGUACUGACUGAUUGGAGCUGUUGGUUGGGAAAUGACGCUGCUGUCCGUGUUCUGCCCACAGUUAAGCACAGGGUUCCGGCAUGUUUUAGCUUGUACUAAUCCUUUGUGUUGGUCGUUGAAAAAGAAAAAAAAAAUCUUUGUGUUGGUUUAUGUAUCCAAGGCAAAAUGGUAUCCCACAUUUAACACGAGCUGAUGGUUUUUAAAAGGUUCGGAUAGAAAAUAUUCCAAAUGCAAUCUGCCCAUGAAAAAACAUGAAUUUUUGUGGGCUUUGUUGCACGAGCUCCUGUCUUGACAUGUCCUAGAGAUUUUGAAUCAGUCUUACGUUUGGCCAAGGAAAGGACCAUAUAUAUAGAUUUGAUUUUUGUAACUGGGAUUGGUGAUGAGGGGUCGAUGUUGUAUCCUCCUAUCCUUGGCUUGAAACGGUGAAUUGCAAAUGACAAAUUAGCUUUCGUGGCUGCGGCGGUCAGUGGAGGCUAUGAACAUGGGUAACGAAACUACGGAAGGCAUAGCCAACAGGUUCGGAUUUUUAGUGAUGACAAAAGGGGUUUAGUGUAGUACUCCUAACAAAAUUAAAGAUUUACGAGUGAUAGCGACAGGUCCAUUUGUCCUCGUCGACAAUCUGCAAUCAAGCCGUUUGUGGAAUGGCAAGUAAUCUAAACACGACGCAAACCUUCUAGAAGCAAAAGCACUCCCAAUCAUCCAUAGUAAACACGAACCAGACGGCGGCCAAGGCGAAGGCAGCGAGGAGCCAAGGAACCAAAGGUCCGAGUAACGGCCCGUACUCGGGUUGCCGGACAAUUAUAGGCUGCAAAGCCACCGGAUCGGAGCACCGUCGCCCUGCUCACUUGGCCGCUCGGCAUUAAUCUGGCUGCAGAGUGGAGACGCCAGCCACCGCCGGGGGUGGGGUUAUAAAAGUCAACAGCCUCCGCCCACCACCCCUCUUCUUUGCUAAAGCUACCUCCGCCCGCGGCCCGCCGACCUCACCAGUCACCACCCAAUCCCCACCUCCCACCUUCGCGGCGGCGUUCUAUGGCCUACACCUCCUCCCUCCACCUCCCCAAGCUCUUGCUCCUCCCCAACCCCCGCCGGACCAGGCACAGGCCCUCCUUCGUCCCCGCCGCCGCGGCCAAGGCCAGCGGCGUGAACGGGCACGCGCCGCCCGAGAAGCCGGCGCCCAACGGCAAGGCGCACAUCAACGGCGUGAACGGCAAGAAGGGCGUGAACGGCGUCAACGGCAAGAAGGGCGUGAACGGCCAUGCGGACCGGAUCCACCUCACGGUGAGCACGGGCGGCGGGGGCCAGGACGGCACCGGGCUCCGCGUGGCGUUCCAGGGCGCGCCGGGCGCGUACAGCGAGUUCGCGGCCAAGACGGCGCUGCCAGGGUGCGACACGGUCCCGUGCCGAGCGUUCGCGGACGCGCUGGCGGCCGUGGAGCGCGGGGGCGCCGACCGCGCCAUUCUCCCCGUGGAGUCCACCAUGGAGGGCACCGCGCUGCGGAACUACGACCUGCUGCUGCGGCACGACCUGGUGGUGGCGCAGGAGAUCAACCUCUUCGUGCACUACUGCCUCCUCGCCAUGCCGGGCGUCCGCGCCGCCGAGGUCCGCCGCGUCAUCAGCCACCCGAUGGCGCUCGCGCACUGCGGCCGCGCGCUGGCGCGCCUCGGGGUGGACCGCGAGCCCGUCGAGGACACCGCGGGCGCCGUCGAGAUGCUGCGCUCCAACCGGAUGCUCGACACCGCCGCCAUCGCCAGCCCGCGCGCCGCCGACCUGUACGGCCUCGACGUGCUCGCGCACGGGCUCCAGGACGAGUCCUGGAACGUCACGCGGUUCCUGCUCCUCUCCAGGCCGCCGCCGCCCGUGGCGCUCCCCGUGGACGCCGACGCCAAGACCAGCAUGGUGGUCGCGCACCGGGGCGGCUCCAUGAUGGUGCUGCUCAAGGUGCUCUCCGCCUUCUCCUCCCGCAACAUCAACCUCACCAAGCUGGAGGUCAUCAACAACGACGGCGCCGCCGCCCCCGCCGCCGCCGGUGCGGGUGCCCGCCCGCCGGUGAUGAUCCUGGACACGAGCGCCCGGGGCGCGCCGACGCUGCGCGCGUUCCCGCACGUCCUCUACGUGGACUGCGCGGGCGCCGCCCACGACCCGCGCGUCCGCGAGGCCAUCCAGGAGAUCGAGAAGUUCGCCGUGUUCGUGCGCGUGCUCGGCUGCUACGCCGCCGAUUCCACCGUCUACGACCUGCAAUGAGAAGGAGAGGAAGGCAGGAUCGUGAUGGUGCGAACCAGGACAGUUGGAAUCUAGCAAGUCUGCCGCAAUUUCGCUGCUAUAAUUGGGCGAAGCUAUCAGGUCUACUAGCAUUCAGAAACUAGCUUUAGCGAGAUUAAGUUCCUCUGCUUGCUGCUGCUGCUGCGUAAUUCUUGUACAGAUGCAAUAAGAAUCUUCCUAUUGCUGCUGGAUUAUGUUAGCUGUGUCUUUGUGUGUGGAUAGGUUGAAGCUUGGUGAUGAUGAUGCCAGCUGAAGGGUGUGUUUGUACUAAGAUGUCUUGUUGAUCAUGACCGGAUCGUUUGUAAUCUUGUUGUCUAGAUUUCGGCGCAAGCUUUCAGUUUUGUAUGUCGCAGCUUAGGAUCUCACAAUAUCCAUCUUGCAAUGUUUUCAGCACUGAACUUUGUAACCGAGCAGUGUCUUCAUCCUCUGCUUGUUUGGGUAUGAGCUCACUGCUAACUCUCCACGAGCUCCACGCGUCAACGCUUAAUUGCGUAGCGAGUACUCCGGCCGAUCCGGACUGGAGUAGAAGGGAUCUCGACUGUAGUACUAGACUAAUGAUUUUAGGCCCUGUUUGAUAAGAGGUGUUAAAAUUUAACACCCCACUUUUAACGCAUUUUUAUCACAUUGCCUCCCAAACACAUGUGUCCCUAAUUUCAUAAACACCUCAAGGGGUGUUAGGGCCUGUUUGGCAACUAGGUGUUAAAGUUUAACACCCGUCACAUCAGAUAUUUGGAUGCUAAUUAGAAGUAUUAAACAUAAGCUAAUUACAAAACUAAUUGCACAGAUGGAGUGUAAUUCGCGAGACGAAUCUAUUAAGCCUAAUUAGUCCACGAUUUGACAAUGUGGUGCUACAGUAACCAUUUGCUAAUGAUGGAUUAAUUAGGCUUAAUAGAUUCAUCUCGCGAAUUAGCACAAGAUUCUGCAAUUAGUUUUAUAAUUAGCUCAUGUUUAGUUCACCUAAUUAGCAUCCGAACAUCCGAUGUGACACUGUUAAAGUUUAACACCUCGUAUCCAAACACCCCCUUAAAAGUUGUUAAACUUGUUAAAAGUGGUCCCCUCUUCACUUUUUUCCACCAUUGCCGCUUUCUCUCUCCUCCCUCUCUCUCCGCCGGCCAUAAUUGAGGGGGCAAUGGAGUCAUUUCCCACCAAAGGUGUUAAAGUUUAACACACCAUCCAAACACCCCAAUGUGUUAAACUUUAGCACUCCAUUUGAGAGUGUUAAAAAUUUAACACUUGUUAAACUUUAACACGAAGUAUCAAACAGGCCCUUGGUAGUUGAUCUGGACUGGAGUUAAUACUUAAUUUGCAGUCUAGCCGGCAAUUCUGAAUCAUUCUCUUCUCCAAAUCUACAGGGUCGAUGAAUCUGAGGGGGGUCCUCCUAAAAUUCCUGUCACAUCGAAUAUUCAAAUACUAAUUAGAAGUAUUAAACAUAGAUUAAUUACAAAACCAAUUACGCAGAUGGAGACUAAUUUGCGAGACGAAUCUAUUAAGCCUAAUUAGUCCAUGAUUUGAUAAUGUGAUGCUACAAUAAAUAUGUGUUAAUGAUGGAGUAAUUAGGCUUAAUAGAUUCAUCUCGUGAAUUAGCCUCUAAUUAGUUUUAUAAUUAGCUCAUGUUUAGUCCUCCUAAUUAGCCUCUGAAUAUUCGAUGUGACAUGAAUUUUAGUCCGGACUAAAGAUCCAAACACCCUUUGAGUUUCGGAAUCCCAAGUAGGGCUCCGUGCAGGGAUCAGGGAACCAAUCUUGUGUGCUUCACGCGAGAAUCAGUAAACUAUUUUGCGAUUGAUUGUUGGAGAACUAUUUGCCGAGAACUAUUUGCCGUAACAGGGCAAGAGGCGGAAUAUUACACUGUAUGCACGCACAAGACCAAACCCUAGCCGUGCUGAGUAGCAUCGGGACAAGAUGCCCGUGUAGCCGCCCUGCGCCAGGAAAAUAGGGCGGAGGAGGGGUCAAGGUGGGGGGGGGGGGCGGACCUGGAAGUGGAGCGGUGGAGGAAAUCGAUCGCCGGCGAUGCAGAUGCCUGUGCAGCCGCCUGCGCCGCGAAAAAAUGGCGGAAAAGAAGGGGGCCAAGGUGAGGGGCGGACCUGGAAGCGAAGUGGCGGAUCCGUCGGAGGCUCCCUGGGCGGCGGCGCCGAAGGGAAUCGACCGCCGGCGGCACAGGGUCCCGGUGGUGCACGGAGAUCCUGCACGGAACCCGCUCCUGGUUCAGAGGUGCGCGCGGUACAGGUUCAGAGAGGCGCCUGAGAAGGGAUUAGGAUAAGGCAUGAGCAGUUUGGUCAUUUCACAUCCCAAUUCCACGUUGGCAGGCUAAGUUGGCGCGCCAUGUGUGCAAAAAUAGCAAAUGCAUUGCUUCGUUUAUAGAGGGGUGGCAAAAAUAUAAGGGUAACCGUAAGAAUGGCAACCGAAGGAGUGUAAGGAUAACCAAUAAGGAGACGUGGUAUUCGUUCCGCGAUAAGCGAGUCCUAUGAUCUUGGGCACCACGUGAUCAUCGGAUCCCACCGCAGCCACCUCUAGACCGUGCCCACCGGCCACCGAAAGGCGUGGUGAAGGGCAGGCCGCAGAACAUGCACGGGCCUCUGCAGCUUUUCAGAAGGAAACAAACAAAGAGAGCAGCAGCACGCAGUGCUGCAAGCCCGCAACCAUGGCCCCGGGAGAUUCUCGCAUUCUUCUCAUCUUCUGACUUCUGUGAUGCUGGAGGAGGGGGAAUCGGGAAUCUUUGGAAUCUCGAUCAUGUGACUGCGAGUGCAACCGGCUCCCCGUGAUGCUGGAGGAGGGGGAAUCGGGGAUCUCUCGAAUCUCGAUCAUGUGACUGCGAGUGCAAUCGGCUCCCUGUGAUGCUGGAGGAGGGGGAAUCGGGGAUCUCUCGAAUCUCGAUCAUGUGACUGCGAGUGCAACCGGCUCCGUGGCUCCGUGCAAAAAAGCUCAUGCAGGGUGCAUGAUCGUGCCGUAUCUCGCCGCCAAUCUCGAUCUACUACUUGCCUUCAGGCUUCAGCCUUCUUCUCGGAUUUAAAGGAUAAGUAUGACGACGACUUUCCAAGGGUCUACGAUGCAAAUGCAACAUCAUUCAUGGAAGACACGUUAUACUAUCUCGUUUUCCCCUCUGGAGAGUGACCCUCUUUCUCUCCGGCAAGUGUGGAACGCAACGCGUGCUGCCGCAUUAGCUCGACGUCCUAGAAUGAUCUGGGGGCUUCCGGAAGGACAAUGCGAAGGUGCGAAUUAUUGGCGCUGGAAAGGCGAUGCGGGUCACAUGCGAAGCAAUGAGCCUGCAGGGACGUAUUUUUGCAGGUGGGUUCAUUCCUUCCUCUCCUCUGGGUCGCGAUCGUGGGAUGUUUGCCCUUAAUUUGGCUCACGGGCUCAGUUUAAUUUGGCUUCUUAUUUGGCAAACAAGAAUCUUUAAUUUCAGCGAGCUAAUAUAAAAAGGGCAAGGACACCACACGUGCCUGCUGUCUCCUGGGUCGCGAAGAUAGUAUCGCUGGCAACAAGAUCAGCGGAGUAUGCUGUGUUCCGCUUGGCUAGCCUGCUAUGCUCGCUGUUAGCAGAUUAUGGCUGAGCUUUAGCAUGCCCCGAAUUUUAAAAGACUCGCCUAGUCGCCUCCGUCCGACCUUCCGAUCCCAGCCCCGUGCACGAGAACGACGCCGACCACUCCACUCCAUCCAUCGCCUGUUGGCCGGCUCUGCUCAACCUCCAGCGCGCGAACAGGUGCAAAUGCAACGCGCCGCGCCCGCGCAUAUGCUAUCAAGCGGGGCGUCGCCCGUGCUGCCGGCCGACGACGGACACUCACGUUUAACAUGUCCUGUAUUUCGUUGACGUUGAGCUUUAGCCAGUUACGUAAUCAUCAUUAUCUUUUUUACCCAAAGUUUCGUUCAGUAUUAGUAGUACAGCCAGCUGUACUAGUAGCAAACUGGAGUAGCAAACAAGGUGGUGGAGCGGAGUGGUGGUCCACUGGUCCUGGCAGCACUGCAUUGCCAUCCGUGGCACAUGCUGGGAAGAAAAAAAAGAUCUGACCAAACCUAUAGUCACAACAAAAAUCUGAUUGUUGAAGGGUGUUUGUACUUAAAUGUUUUGUUGAUCAUGACCGGAUGUCCGGAUCGUUUGUGAUCUUGUUGUCCCACGUUUCGGCGCAAGCUUUCAGUUAUGUAUGGCCUUGUUUAGUUUCACCAAAACUCCCAAUUUUGACACUAUGCAAAAAGAAGAUUCCCCGUCACAUCAAACUUGUGGUACAUGCAUGAAGUACUAAAUGUAGACGAAAUUAAAAACUAAUUCCACAGUUUUGUUGUACUUUGUGAGACGAAUCUUUUGAGCCUAAUUAGUCAAUAUUUGGACAAUAAUUCACAAAUACAAACGAAACGCUACAGUGUGCAACAGUACUACAACAGUAAUUUUGGACACCCAAAUUCAGGGCAACUAAACAAGGCCUAUAUUGCAGCCUAUGAUCUCACAGUAUCCAUCUUGCAAUGUUUUCAGCACUGAACUUUGUAAACCAAGCGUGUGUCUUGUUGUGCAGAUCUACCACCGCUGUGUUCAGAAACAUGUGGAGUUCAAGGGAUCCCGGAGUUCAACCCGGAAACUACAUUACCAGCAUACUAGCAGUAUAUCUUGUUCGCACAAGAACUCACGUCAUCUCCUGCUUAUUUGGGUAUUGAGUCGACUACUAAAUUUGUCAGUCAGCAAGAGUCCCUGCAAGAUAUUUUUCCACGAUUUUAGUAGUCAAUCUGGACCGGAGGGAUUUUAGUAGUCAAUCUGGACCGGAGGCUGGAGCUGGUGUUUGGAUACGAGGUGCUAAACUUUAGCAGGAUCACAUCAGAUAUUCGGAUGCUAAUUAGGAGGAUUAAACAUGAGCUAAUUACAAAACUAAUUGCACAGAUAGAGUCUAAUUUACGAGACAAAUCUAUUAAGGCUAAUUAAUCCAUCAUUUGACAAUGUGGUGCUACAGUAACUAUUUGCUAAUGAUGGAUUAAUUAGGCUUAAUAGAUUCAUCUCGCGAAUUAGCACAGGGGUUCUACAAUUAGUUUUAUAAUUAACAGAUAUUUAGUCCUCCUCAUUAGCAUCCGAAUAUCUAAUGUGACACAGCUAAAGUUUAGCAACCAGUAUCAAACGCACCCUAACUGAAUCAUUCUCUUCUCCAGGCUCGAUGGAUCUGAAUUUCUGAAUCGAAUCCAAGGGGGGGCUCUAUGCAAGGAUCACGGAAUCUUUGUAGGCAGAAUCUGUGCUUGAUUGACUGAUUGUUGGAGCCCUCCGUCCGUUUGUUGUUAUCAGCUUAUCAUAUUUAUCAUAUAGUCAUUCGUUUGGAAUUAGCAGUAACAUAUAAGUCCUGUUUAGAUACACUUUUUCUAACCAUGCUUAAUUAUAAUCUAAGCGAAGAUUUUCUCCCUUAUCGUAGUUUAAAUCUCUAAAGCGACUUACCACAUAAGCUAGACAUAAGCGAGAAUUGAUGAAAAUAAACAAAAUCGUUUGACAUAAUUUUUGCUUAUUUCCACUGAUAAAUUGCUUAUAAACGGAAAUAAAUAGGCUCAUAGUAGGCCUGUGGUCCUGCCAGCAAGUGCCAAGUGGGAUAUGCCUCUGUCCACGGCACAUGUUACCGACUGGAGGCGAAAUUUUUUUGACCCGACGUAGCUGUCGCUGAUAAGCGCGUUCUCUGAUCCUCUGCACCACGUGAUCACCAGAUCCAACCCGCAGUCACAAGAAAAAACGAGGGCGAUUCCAAUUUCACCUGCUCGGAAUGAAACCGAAAGGCGUGGUGGAAAGCUGGCCACAAAGAACAUGUGGACCGAAGACCGCGCCGUUGCAGCUUGCGGAAGGAAACAAACAAGCGAGCAGCUGCAUGCAGCAACCAUGGCCAGUUGGCCACCCGGACCGGGAGAUUCUCGCGUUCGAGCGAGGUGCGAAUUUUCCACGUGUGGCGUAGGAAACGUAUCGUGUUUGGCGCAGGAAAACGGACACCCGUCGACCGUCGUCGUGUCAAACGAGCUCACGAGCCCUUUCCAAGAUUUUUGCACACCAUGCCAAAAGCAGCUGAGGAGGAGAACUUGCUUCUCAUAGCCGCCAUGCCAAAAGAUCAGCAGCAGGCCGUUGCCUGUACCGCUAAUUUCCGUAGCGUAGCUGCGUCGUCUGCACUUGUUCUACUCCUAGGCUCCUACCGUGGCUUGGGCCUUCGCUGUAGCUGGAUUCAGAGCCAUGCAGGGACCAGGGAGUGAGGUGGUGGUGGUGCCGUGGUAGGUGGCGCCCGGACCACAUUCCUGCUCCCGUGAAGCUGUAGGGAAUCUGGGAUCUAUCUGGUGGGUCUGAAUUGAAUCACGCGCAACCACCUCUAUGGCAAUAUGCAAAAGGUCAUGCGAGGUGCAUGAUUGUCCUCAUGUCCUGUAUCAACAACUAUCAACUCGUGGUGGAACACGUUCUGAAUGAAUGAACUUGCUGCCAAUCUCUACGUGCCUUCACUCUCGGAUUUGACGGAUAGUAAGAUGUGUUUCCAAGGAUCUACUAGGGUGCAACAUCAUCACUCAUAUAAGAUAGAUACGGUACAUCGCCUUCCCCUCAUCCGGCUGCGCUAUACCGUAAUGGAAUGGAGAUCCUCCUGUAGUUUCAUGGAUAGCCGGAUAGCGAAAAGUUCAUCCACCCUUUCACACACGGUCCGUAAGAUCAUACUCCGGGGGGCACAAGAGCCUGAUGACACAGAAAGUGAUAUUUCUGUCCGGCAAGUGUGGAACGCAACGCAUGCUGCCUUCUAGAAUGAUCUAGGGGCUUCCGGAAGGACAAUCGGAGGAGCGAAUUAUUGGCGCUGGAAAGGUGAUGCAGGUCACAUGCCUGCGAACCAAUUGCGCGCGCGUACUGUACGCACCUAUUUGCUUUGCAGGUGGGUUCUUGCAUUGGCUCGCGAUCGUGGGAUGUUUGCUCUUUUAUAUGCUUGGCUUAAUCUGGCUUGCUUUGGCAAGCAAGGAUCUCUAAUUUCAGCGAGCUAAUCGAAAAAGGCAAGGACACCACACGUGGUUGCUGCCUAGCUUGCUGGUUACAAGGAGCUCAUUAUGCCACCAAGAUCAGCAUGUUGAACAGAACAGAUUAGUGUCGGCUCCAUAUGCCUAGCUGGUUGGGCUUUAGAGCAACUCCAAAAGCUCCCUUAAAUUACCCCUAAUACCUUAAUUAGGAAGAAAAAGGAAAAAAAACCUCUCAAACAGCUCCCCCAAUCCUACCGCAAAUAUUCACCGAGCCGAAUCGAGAACCGUCACCCUACAAAUUUGCGCGAGUUUUUUUCUCCCCCAAUCGCCCCGAGCUUCCUUUCCACGCGCCUGAUCCGCUCUCCCAGCGCAAGUCUCCAUCCUCGCAAGUCGCGAGUGCCCGCGCGUGUCAGCACCAAGGGAACAGGGUCCCUCGAGAAGGCACGGGGCCCGCCUGCAAAAAGGGGCUCCCUCUUCAUGGAGCCCAACUAAGGAGAUGGGCUCCGGAAAUCAAAGCCCGAGAAGGACCAAGAAAAUAUCACCUCGACAUGGUGGGGCCUACUGAGGGCCCACAUAGUGGGAAUGGGGUGCUCCUAAGGAGGCUUUCCGGGAAGCCCCCGAGAAAGCUCGCUUCGGGGUGAAGCAAGUGGUGGCGCGACAGUCGAGCUAGGCCGUUAGCAGGCGCUCCGUCCUUGUAAAAACACCAUCAUUAUGGUUGACGGGGCGCGCCUGGGCGCCUUGGGGUCUGACGGCCUCACCCAUCCCAUCCAACAGGUGGCAACCGCCGCCCUCAUGUCAAGAGCGUCUGCCACGCUCCCGGCCGCCCUAUGCCAUGAGGUGGGUCCACACCGCAGCCUCGGGAAGAGGCGAAGGUCUCCUGGGAAGAGUCCCAGGAAGCGAAUUGAAUGCCCCCUAUCCCAGGAUGAUGGGUCCAAACUGAGAAGAGCUCGAAUUACCAGGGUAAGAUGGUAAAAAGGGAUUGAGAUGCAAGGGACUUGGUCAAGGUGCUCCGGCACCUUGCGAACCAAGGCAACCAAGGCAAGGAAGCGUCAGGGCAAAUGGAUGGCAUGUCAGAGGAACUGUAGCAAGGAGGGUGGCCAUUGGGCCGCUGCAUUCAUACACACAAUGUAAAGGGAUGGAUUGGGGUGCAAGGCUACCCCCAUCAGUCCUCCCAUGGGCCUGGUCUAUAAAAGGCCAGCUCUUGUACAAACACAGGGAGACAACUCUAAGCAAGAUAACACACAGAACGUAGGGUAUGACACUUCGAAGCGGCCUGAACCUGUCUAAAAACCCUCUGAGCGCAAUCAUCCAAAAAACUCCCUUCAACACCUCUUGAAUUCCUACGCACAAACUAACUCCCAGACCGGAUCUCUAAAAGGGGGUCCCAUCGGAUCCCCACUCUCGGUGCUUGACCACCGUCAGCUGGCGCGCCAGGUAGGGGGAUAGUGGUGUGUUGAGAUCUGAGGCUUCCUAGUUGCAUAGAGGCAAUGGGGAGCCGUUUCCAUCAUCGUGGAGCCCGACAGUGAGUUGGAUGGCAAAGAUAAUGGUGGACAAGAAACACUCCACCGAUGGGCGGCAACGUCGAAUCGGUGACACCCGUCCUUGCUUCACGGCGGCCGAACACCGCAGCUUCGGUGCCGCCGCACAUCAACACUCUGCACUUAGUCUCCGGCGGAACUGUCUCCACUGUGCGACGAGUGGCUUGCUUCCGCAAGGAGGCAAACAAACGUGUCGAGGCAGCGGCCCGCCGACACAGCUCACGCGCCUGCCGCCGCCUUAACUUCGACAACCUGAUGCCCUGAUGGCCGCACAAGCCCUCCUUCAUCAUCCACCGUAGAGGAUAGGGUCGAGACCUCGGAGGGGCGAUGGUUGGAGGAUUUGGCCAAGCUGGUGGGCAAGGCUCAGACUCCCUACGGGCUGGGCGAAAGUUCAUGCGGCUAAACCGGCCAGGACGGACACAGGUCCGAUUUGGCCCGCCACCCAUCCCCUAGCCGAUCACGGAAGUCCAUCAUGUCUCCCCCCGCUCUGGACAGUAGGACUUGCGCACUCUCCUUGAGCAAAACUGCUCGAGGGAGGAUGUGUGAGUCACCCUGGAGCGGAGCCAGGAGCGGCAUCACGAUCUGCCCCAGACGGAAGACCAAGCCUUGUCGGGAUCCGCCCCUAGGGGGUAUUCUCGACGAGAAGGGAGGACCCACAUGAAUGGGGACGAUGAUGCUGGCCCAUACGGGGCUGGGUGCCGUGCCUUCACGGCCGACCUCCGUCGGGUCGACUGGCCAAACAAGUUCCAGCCUAAGAUCCUGGAGAAAUACGAUGGCACCAUCGACCUGGAGGAGUUCCUCCAAAUCUACAUGACGUCCAUUCAGGCUGUCGGGGGGGGGGGGGCAAAAGUCAUGGCCAACAACUUCCAUGUCACCCUCCGAGGGUCGGCACGGUCGUGGCUCAUGAAUCUCCCUGCAGGAUCUGUUCAUUCAUGGGCAGAUCUGAGUGAGCAGUUCGUCGCCAACUUUGCGGGUUCAAUUACCCGACCGAGCAUGGAGAGCGAUCUCCACACCGUUCAUCAGCGUGAUGACAAAACGCUACGGCAAUACAUCCAGCGUUUCAACCAAGUCCGCAACACUAUCCCUCUCAUUCCCCCGACCUCGGUGAUACUCACCUUCAAGCAAGGUCUCCCUGACCAGCGGCUGAGGGGAAAGUUGGGGAUCCACAUCAUUGAGACGGUGGCAAAACUGUUUGCCCUGGACGACAAGUACGCCCGGGAGGCUGAAGCUCAAGCCCUGCCUCCCCCACGGGAGACGACUGCCCAGCAGGAAGAGAAGCAUCCCCGACCCGGCAAGGGCCAGGGGAAAAAAGAACAAGAGAAAAGUUGUUGCCGCGCUGGGUCUGGAGGGCCGUAACCGGCCUCCGCUACCCAGGGGUCCGCGAGAGAGGGUCCCUAACCAACUUAUAUGGUGAAGCUAUGCUGCACCUGUUGAGAAGUUGACAGAGGGAUAGCAGGAUGCCACACGCGCGCGCUCGUCGAGCCGUGCCGUGCCGUGUGUUGCAUUAACCUGGGCGUCCAAAGGUCUUCUGCAACCUAUAAGAGAGAGGCUGCCUCUCAUUCUGGACUUCAUCGGAAGAGCAUGCCUCCGAAGCUGCACUCUUCACCAGAGACUCUGCACCCGAGGAGUAGAAGGGCGAUCAAGUUUUUUGGGAGCGCGUUUGCACGAUUGCUCACUGUUCGUUUACGACUACUUCCCGGUGACGCAUCUGCACUGCCUUAGCUCUACACUGCUUCAACUCUUGAACGGCUACGUUAAAUAGGCUCGACUAUCAAUGUCGGGUAACGGCACAUUCGGUUCCUCCGGAACUGGCCCCGCCUCUGGGUAUUUCCUUUUGAACUUUCUCAUUCAAUUCUUAUGUUUUAUGGUACCUACAUGUUCAUUGCAAAUACAAUAGAUCAUAUUUCUGUUUACACUAUCUUAACUGUCAUGUUUUAUUCUAUAUAUUUUGGAUUAAAAUGAACCGUAAAAUGCUUCUAAUUCCAAGGCGCCAUGAGGUCCCACCAGUCCGAGCGCAUCCGCCGGCUCGCGAGCGACGUCAUCCGCGUGGCCGUCGAGGAAGAUAUCGCCAGGACGAAGGAACUCCAUGGCGUGCGCCGUGUCAAGGUGGCAGACGAGAGGCCUCUACGCAAGAAGAUGCCGCCUUCCGAGGAGGAGGAGAAGAUCGUGGCCACCAAGCGCAAGCUCUGGGAGGGGUACCGGGAGGCGGAAGACGCCAAGCACCAGAGGAAGAUCCAGGUGAUCCAGGAGCCCAAGAUGCUGGAGCAGAGGCAUCGGAAGAUGCACCCGAUCCUGCGCGAGCGGAGCCAGGCGAGAUGCGGGAUGCCCACUGCUGUCAGGCGCUGUUUCGUCUCGUCGUCUAACAGGGUCUAAGGCUCUGUAGCUGUAGGGGAUAGGAUCAAACACCUCCGUGUAAUACUGCACCUGUAAUGAGUAGAUUGCAGCAAAAGAGCUGUUCUGUAUGUUGCUAAGAUUUUAUUCUUCUGAUUUGUCCAAAUUUUUCCAUGUAGUUCCCAGUGAUAAACGCAUGGAACAUGAAAAUCGUAAUGUAUAUUGCGCGCAUUGAACUCUACGCUUCCUGGGCACGGUUCAAUCAGCUGCCUCGGCGCAGCAAUACAGCUUGUCAGUAAGGAGUGUUCAGAGUUACUAGUAUUCUUUUCUGAAUGUGUUGUCUAAAUUGUUGUCCAUGUGUUCCUCAAAAAAAUAAAUUGUUUUCCAUGUGAUGUUUCCUAAGUUUUCGGUGUGUGAUGACUUGAUCAUGGUCAUGGCGACGUUCUGCGAUGCGGUAACACGCCUGACAUCGGGGGAGAUCAUGUGAUGUUCAGAUGCGCGAUCCCAACUGAUUACUGCAUAUCUGAACAUAACUCGGGUCUUUUGAGCUAGCGAGUUGCUCACUGAUGCCAUCUGAGUUUGCUGAUGGGCCAGUAUUGCGUUAGGCCAGUUAGACAAGGUUUGCGAGGCCCAUUAGUUUGGGCCUUCGUCUAACGGAACUGGCUGUGGAAAAGGAGCUUUCAAGCUUUUACACUCUACUACAUUGUUUUUUUUCUGGAAAGUACUCUACUACUCCUGUGCAGGUUGCUCAAGUUAUUUUUUUUCCCCAAAAAAAAAAAAACGAAAUGCACGGUGCCAGGAGGAAGACAACCAAGGUUAAAAUGUAAACAGAUAAAUAGAGACAAAAGAAGAACACAGAGCUGCCGGCACUACCUAUGCCAGGAGCAGGACAAUAAUAAUAAUAAGAAGAAGAAGAAGCAGAUAAUGAACGAACAAGCUGGCGAUCAAGCUAACACACUUGUCAUGGAAUGGCCGCUAGCAUCUCCUCAUCCGUCAUGCCCUAUCUGCCAGCUGCAAAAGACCUGGUUGCCUCUGCAAUGCCCGGCCCAAGCUCUGAAACCGACCCUGCCCCAGUCUCAUCCCCUACCUUAUCCAACAAAUUUUCGAAAGGACAACGGACAGCGCUGACCAUAGCCGAAGAGUAAAUAAAAAAAUUGAAGAUAAAGUACAUUUUAAAGUACGUUGACAUAACUUUGGAGCUUGCAACAGCCAUAAUUUGUGCUAAGCGUUGUAUGGAAGCCAUGAUUUCAGGAGAUCGAUGGAGGAUAAUGUGCGAUGCAAGAGUCAAACCCCUAUCUGUCUAAGCUAGCUGCGAUGUUUGGUGCUUCUUCUUUGUUGCUUUAGAUUGCAUUGUGUGCAUGCAAUAUGUCCGACAAAACCGACAUCAAUCUAGCUGCAAGAUGCAUGCAUGCAGUUUGGAUUGCUCGUGAGUGACGGCUAACGAAGGCGGCCAAACUAAAUGACACGCCGAUGUCUCUGCAGAGAAGGCACACCGACCAGCAGCAAUCUCUCUACUUCUCAUCAACACACAGUAAACAACUUGUUUCCAUUCCAAUUUGCCAAGUACGGUACAUUUAUUUUGUCCUGUGAAUAAUAUUGAGUAAAUUUCAACAGUGGUCAUUAAACUUGUCCCGAGUUCUCACCCGAUCCCCGUAUUCUCAAAAUGCCCAUAAUGGUCCUUAAACUUAUCAUGAGCUCUCAUCCUGAUCCUCGAAUGUGUCUCGAGCUCUCAUCCUGAUCCUGGUACUCUCAAAAUACACAUGACGACCAUCCCUAAACUUGUCCCGAGUUCUCAUCCUUGUCCUGGGUUCUCAUCCACUAAAACUUUGAGUGGGAUUUGAACUUAGUUUAAAAUCCUCAUGAAAUUUUGAUUAGUUUUGAAUGUGAUACAAACUUGUUUUGAAAUACUUAUGAACUUUAGAUCAAUUUGAGUGGGAUUCAAAUCCUAAAAGUUCAAAUCCCACUCAAAUUCAUUCCGAAAUUCAUGAGAAAUUGAAACCAAGUUCAAAUCCCAUUCAAAAUUGAUAAAAGAAUUCAUGAGGAUUUGAAACCAAGUUCAAAUCUAACUCAAAGUUCUAGUGGAUGAGAGCUCGGCACAACCUUAUAGACCCAGAUGAGCGCUCGGAACAAGUUUAUGGACCUGAAUGAGAGCUCAGGACAAGUUUAGGGACUGUUAUGUGUAUUUCGAAAGUAUCGGGACUAGAAUGAGAGUUUGGGAUAAGUUUAAGGAUUGCAAUGUGUAUUUUGAGAGUACCGGAAUCAGGAUGAGAACUUCGGCCACGUUGAAGGACCGCUGGUGAAAUUUACUUAAGAAUAUUUAUACACCGAAGUGGAUAAGAUGUCAAUGGACGAAAGAGAGAGUAAUAAUUUACAUUGUGUACAACUGGCCCGGUUUGCAGAAUCUGGACAGUGACUUGCAUCAAAUGGCAAGGUUUCACAGUGCCACAGCGAACCAGUGAUCUGCAUAGAUGCGUAUUAUGUUUUGUGGCUUAGUUCAGGGAAUCUAGAACUAUGAUGAUGAGAUCCAAAGUUCCAUUGGCCGCCUCGUAUCUGCCCUCUUUAUGGAUCUGAUCUCUUGUGCCACUUGUUAGUAGCGUGUUUCAUUUCAUAUAGCAAUGCUUGCCAUCUUGAGACAUGGUACUAUUCGUUCUAAUGUCAACGAGCUACCCACAUGAUGACUAUCUAUCUAUAUGUUUCCUAUAAAAAACAUAUAUAUUGUUUCCUGAUAUUUGUAGUAGAGAGUUUUCUUUUGUGCGACUUGUGUGGAUUUCUUUAUAAUAACUCAAGAUGUAUUGCACCAACGUCAACUAUAUAUAGGAAUGGAUUAGCCACAUGUACAUGUGAUUUGAAAGAAAUAUUACUCUGUUAGAGUUAGGUUUUCACUUGGCUGUGUGCGGUUGCAGAGGCCGGAAACCAUUCAAUUUUCUAAAAAAAGAGUUAGGCCUUCAUAACCCUAUUACACAUAACACUAAAACAGAUGCAAUGCCUACCUGCAAACUCAGUCAAUAAAACAUUGAGCAAACAUGUACGGAAAAUAUAUGCACAUUUAUAUAUAUAUCCAGAUGUAUAAAAUUAGGUGGUAUUGUGUCUACCCUAGUACAAUGUAAAAAGAAAAUAAAUAGGUGGACGGGGAAGAUAUUAUAUAUAUGAUCGUGGUCUGAGCUUAUCAUUGGUUAUCAUGCAUGCGACCAUGCUGGCCGGAUUGUGAUGUCAUCUGUCUGCAUCGCUACAUAAAUGCCUGAUUUUUAAUCAACCAAUUAAAGAUUGGAAAUGAUGUUAAGUGGCAUGCUUGGAGUCGUCAGAAUAUCUCUCAUGAACGCCAUGCCUAACCUUGCUUAUUUUUUCAAGCUCUUGGUCAACAGUAAAUUAAAGCACUUCAUGCAUGAUAGGUCUGAGCUUAUCUGUACGUUUAAUAAUAUAGCAGAUUACCCUUUCGAAAAAGAAUAGUAGAUUAGCCAUAUAAUUGUAGGCUUCUAGUAUUUUACAACAUUAUGAAUUUGCACAUGUUGGCUUCUUUGAUGUGCUUAAGCGCCAAUCUAACAUAUGUUAAUCGAUUUGCCGCAAAUGGCCCUAUCGGUUUGUAUGGUCUAUGUCUCCUUUCUGGGAGCUAGAGGCCAAUUUGCAAACCAAUAACGGCGACGAUCCGUGCAUGUUUAAUAGUGGCCCGUUGUGCCUUCUUCCCGUCCAUAUAGCUCUGCAGAUAAGAGUAACACAGAUGUACACAUUCAGUUGCGACAUGUUUGCUACUAUAUAAAGAUUCUAAAGGUGAUUAAGAUCCCAUAUAUGAAAGUUAGUAUUUUUUUAAUGCGUGUCUAUUUGCAUAGAAUCAUGUUGUUCUUUUGCAAGUGUGGCAAAUAUUACACGCACUUGAAAUGCCAUGACUGAAUGCCAGGGAUAAAAACAGGCGGGAAAACAAGAAUGCCUAGGAAUAUUUUCUUCCAAAAUAAAGAAACUAGUCAAAAUACUGUUAGUGAUCAAUCUACGUGUGUGGUGAGUUUGUACACCCACACCUCACAUGCUUUAAGAGCUGAAUGUCUCUAGUUUUAGUUCUCCCAUGCAUGGUCAAACAGCCAUGCAUCAUCAGAAGGGUCAGCGAGUCCUAAUUGGAAGGAACCAUCUACACUAUAACGGCUUGCGCCUUGGCCGGGGUGUUAGCUGUUCAUCCUGCAAACGAACGCGUGUCAUGUCAGCGUGCCGGCCUGCAACCUUGCAGAUAGGCAUUUCCCAGCUUGCCUCCCAUAUGACAUUAAACAACGGCACAUCUUGGGAUACAUCUCCCAAAUAGUCAACCGAUUAAAAAUAGGACUUCUCCAUCUACUACUCUACCAUGCAUUAUGCAUUAAAAUGUCAACGGACUUACCAGAUAAGCAUACGCAGAAACUAUUUCGAAGCUUCUGAUAUACCCGGCCUGCAUCAAGCAUUUUCUAUUACGCCUGCAUUUGCUCGUUGCGCUUCAGAAAGGCCAAGAUUAAAAGCGCUGUACUCUGAAUUGUUUAGGUAACGAGCGCUGUACUUUGAUAUGUGCACAGUAAGCCACUCUCCUUGCAUGUAGUACUGAUCCGCAGUUUCUUUUAUCGUUCUGGGGGCGUUGAGCUGGUGGAUGCAAACGUUUCAGCCACUUGAAGGACCAAUGGAAGUGAAGCAUGCGUCGACGAUCACAUUCUGAAGAUCCACCGAUUUGCCGCAGUUUGCCUCUGAUCUUAGGACUACUCGUAUGGUUAUUUUACUCUUUUAGGGCACCAUAAGCCGUGGGCGCUGUAUGCUCCUUUUAGCUAUAGCUUAAUGUACUUUUCAAGUUCGUAUGGCUGCCGUCCAUGAUCCAUCAAUCUAGUUGAAAAGUACAAAUAAAAGCAUGGAUCGGCUGUCUACGUACUCAAUGUUCAGAGGUUAAAAGAAAAAAGCGAAAGCAUGGAAAUUCACAUACAACAGAAUCCUUUUCAUUCCUUACGUAGGGCAUUACAUUAGCAAGAUUAUUCCUUUUCAAACCUCAGAAUAUGCAGCUAUGCGUAGACGAUCUGGAUUAGCCAUCAAUAUUGUAUGCUGAGAUCCAUGAUUGGAUUCAGAGAAGUAUACAAAUGCAUCCACUGCACCAAUCACAGAUUGAUCCCUCUGGCCCUUACGCUUUGAAUUGACAGCAAGAUAAAGAAAUCGCGACAACACAAGCCCGGUUAUAUACAGUACGUGUAGAGCAAAUAAAAGGUAAUUAAUCAAGACCUCAAGACUGAGCAAUUGUGCAUUUUACCCAUGUACAACCUGGUUCUGAAAAUGACGCCACGUACUUGACAACUCUCCAAGUGUCGACCUGCGAUCGUGUUUCAGCAAGACGGCUAGCAACUAUUGUCGAUGCAUGCGUACACACGGGAUCGGAGCAUACUUUCUUAACUUGAGCAACAGACGGGAAUGUACUGGAUGAGAGCUUAACUGGUCUUCUUUGUGUGGUGCAAAUAAUGCAAAAUGGCGAGAAAUAUCGGUGUUUUAUACCCGGUAACCUACCGAGGGUAUCCCGAGGUAGUAGAUUGGUUGAUGGAGGAUCACCAAACCUGUAACUUGAUGGUAAAAGCGAGGACACAAGACACGGACUUAUACAAAUGUGGGCCGUCAGAGUAGCGUAAUACCCUACAUCCUAUUUGGGGUGUUGUAUAUUGCACCCUACGCUAGGGUGUUAUUUGGUAUUGAGGAUUUGGACCUCUGUUGUGGUGCUCCGUUGUGGUUUUAUGAGGUCUUUGCCUACCGAUCUAGGGACCCCUACUCUCCUUUAUAUACUCCAGGGGGCGGGAUUACUAGUCGGUUACAAGGAGGAGUCCUAGUAGGAUUACAUGGUAUGAGUUAUAGUAGGAUUACAGGAGAAUUCUAGUAGUAUUCCACCUUCUUCCUUCCCUGCGGGUAUUGGGGAUUUAUCCCCGAUAAGCCCCCGAGCGCUUCACAGUCGAAUGCAGCAGAGUACUUUUCAGAUACUCGCUGAGUAGUUUUGGUGCUUUUCGAGUACUUUGUCUAGCUGAAUCUUCAAAGUCCUCAAAGCUAUCAUGAGGUUAUGGUGUGCUCAAGCCCUUGAUCGUCUUGAUUUUGUAAUCUUCAUCUUUGAAAUAUGAUAUGGAGGGCGGCAGAAGUCGCACUCCAUAUGGAGUAGCCCCCGAGCCUUAGGUUGAAUCGAAGAAUCAGGCUGAGAUUCUUUCUUCGUCUUGAAAAAAUCAACUAUUGGGUGUAGCUCAUCAGCCCCCGAGCCUUGGAAUGAUUAAAUAAUCAUUUCAAGGGUCUAGCGAGCUUUAGCCUUCACGCAAGUCAUCAUCCGAGUAGUUUUGCGGGGGCUGGCGUCCAGCUCUCGAGCUUAUGCGCCAGGUGAGCCGUAAAAGCCACGUUGAAUAGUUAUUGGCACUUAGCCCCCGAGCUUGGAAGCUAGCUGAGCCACUGGAGAUAUUCCAAGUAGUAAUUGACGCUUAGCCCCCGAGUCUGGGAGCUAGCGGAGCCAUUGGAGAGACGCUGAGUGUCCUGAAGAGUCGUCGCCGAAGCUUGACCUGAAAAAAGUGAUGCAUACAUUAUGUAGCAUAUUGUGGAAUAUUGAAACUACUGAAAUUUAUUCAGUGAUGAAUGUAAUGUAAAUGUUAUAUGUCAUACUCUUGUUUCGGCCAUAUUUUUCUCGAGUAGUUAUCCUAUUAUGUUUAGACUGUUAGUACCUGUUUAGCCAUUGCCACUACAUAUGAGAUCUUUGUCUCGUGUACGUGCACGGGCACUGCUGCUACAGAGAUCUUUAUCUCGUGUCCUAGUGUUUAGGCAUGACAGAAGAUCCGAGGCUAUCACUAAUUAAGGCGUGUUCUGCUCGAGGAUAUUAGUGACCACUAAGAGAAGACAUUUAAAAUAAGUAAUCGGCAUUGCACAAAAAUACUACGCAAUUGCGUGUAAGGUAGUCAUUGAGACUUUUCUGUCUUUUUGGCGAGGAGACGUAUGUUGCCGCGCAUAGAAUUUGUACCUCCUUAGGGUGUAGCCGAUGUGAGCCUCCAGCACUCAGUGCACCAAACUUUGUGGCAAAACCUCCUAAUUCGGUGUACCAAGCAUGUGGCGGAGCUUCCAAAACUCAGUGCACCAAACCCGUAGCGAUAGCCUUCGUAAUUCAGUGUACCAAGCCUAUGGUUUUCGGUCAAUAUGACCCAAGAAUAGUCGGCGAGGUGUAGCUCUGAAGGGUAAUAACCGUCGAGAGGCGUACACAAAAAAGUACUCGGUGUGUUGCCCUGCACGCAGAAAACAAGCCGGAAAAGUUAUAUAAAAUAAUUAGAAAAGUUAUAUAAAAUAAUUUAAAAAGUGACUUAGCUUGAUUCGUGGAUGAUUGUCGACGAAGCCGUAUCGAUUAUUGAUGUAGCCAACUAGUCGGAGUCGAUUCCGACUAGUUGUUGAUCACGUGUGUAGGAUCUAGGAUACUGGCUAGAGGGGGUGAAUAGGCGGUUUUAAGCUAAAAUACAAUACUUAAUAAACUUUAAUUAGAAACCCACAAGAUAAGCAACAACUAGUAAAUCUACUACUAGGUAUGUCAACAUGAGCUAGGAUGACAAGAAAUAAAACAAGAUAGAUGAAAGCAUUCACUUGAAGUAAGUACUACUACGAAGGUAGAGAGCAAGAUGACAACAGAGAGAGAGACCGAUGUUUUCCCAUGGUGUCGAUGACUUGCCAGUCACCCCUAAUCCACGUUGAGGUGGAUUCAAUGAGGUGGAUUCAAUGAUUCAAUCGCUUCUCUAUCAAGACACCGCUUGAUGUUUAAGCCGAAUUAAAUCAAAGAACCUCUCCAAACCUCGUUUCACUAGAGUUGCUCUUCACCACUCCGAUGAGGUGAGCACAAAACCUCUCACAAGAAUAGCUGGAGCAACUUCACAAUCUCCUUGAAGUGCUCAACAACUCCACAAGCUCCAAGCCAUCUAGGAGGCGGCAACCUCCAAGAGUAAUAAGCCAAUUGACGCUUGCUUGAAGACUCCCUAGUGCCCCAAAGCUCAAGAAAUCAAUGCAAUGCACUAGAAGCCUCUCAAACUCACUAGAAAGCAAUCUCAAUUCAAUGCAAGUAAGUAAGAGGUGGAGAGAGACUCAAAAGAUCAUAAAUGUAGUUCAAAGAACCAAGAGAGAGCUCCAACAACCGGUGGGGGGUAUUUAUAACCCCCACCACCAAAACUAGCCAUUAUAGUAAAAUUUCGUGCAAAACUGGGAAACCGCGGACCGUCCGCAGUACAAGACGCGGACUGUCCGUCGUACAAAGUCCAACGGCUCUAUUGGCAUUGAAUGCGUGUCAGAGAAAAACCGUUACGGGAUCGUGGAUCAUCCGCAGUACAAGUCACGGACCGUCCGUGCCCAGUGGACCGUCCGUAGUUCAAACACCCAGCAGGAAUAGUUUCUGGAGGCCCUUAGCGGACUGUCCGCUAAAUGAACUGCGGAUCGUCCGCGGUUCAAACACCUGGCAGAAAUAGUUUCUGGAGGCCCUUAGCGGACCAUUCACUAAAUGAACGGCGAACCGUCCGCCGAUGGCGCAGAAACUCUAUCAAAAGAGAUCUUUUCAAUAUAAAAGAAACCAUAUGCUCAUCUUAGAUCAAAACUUUGAUAUGCAAUGCAUUCUUUUGAGCAAAGAGGCACUAUAGAACCCUCAAGCAAUAGGAGAAUUGACCUCUCUUAAUAGUACGGCCACCUAUCCUAUUAAAACCGAUCAUAUUGUUCAUCCACUAAGCGUCUAUUUGACUGGAAAAAAGGAAAAACCCUAUUUUAUACCUUUGCCUUGAGCCUUCCAUCAUCAAAUCAAAUUUGAAUGUCACCAUACUAAGAAUCAUGGCCACAACUCAUCCACGGGACUAAUCUACACUCAAUAUUACUCAUUGAAAAAUAUUAGCCUCAAGGGGUUGUUAUUUAUUACCAAAACUCAAAUUAUGGGCCUAGAUGCUUUCAACGUGGAACUCGCCCUCGACUAGUUUUCUAGUCAAGACGAGUAGUUGAAGUAGACCGUCCUUGACUAGUUUUCUAGUCGAGAUGAGUAGUUGAAGUAGUCGUUAGCGAGCUGGCGUAGAUGUCCUGCCCUUGCAGGAGUAGUCAAUCACAUCUCGGAUCAACAAUACUCGUUGAUGCUUGGCGUGUUUUUCCAUCUCUGAUCAACAAAGCUGGUCUCCGCUUCGAACUCGACUAAGGAAAUCGAUUCCCUGUAGGAUUCCAUCUUGACGUCGUCCAAUUCUAUUCCAUCUCGAUCUUGAUGCUUGGAGACGAUCAGGGGCUGAUGAAUUGCUUCACUCCGCACUCCGUUGCAAAUUCCAAUUCAGCGAGAACAGAUGUUAUCUUGGAAUUAGCCUAUCCGGCGACUUCGCCUCGGACUCUGAGCAGUUGCACACCGAGUCAUCGAUUGGAUGGGAGAACAACAUUCUUGUCUUGCAGAGUAGAUUGAUCUUGAUGAGGUCUUUCAAGCUCUCUCGAUGAUCUCGACGAUCACCCUUAGCACGCCAGAUGUCGGUGUUUUAUACCUGAUAACCUACUAAGGGGUAUCCUGAGUUAGUAGAUUGGUUGGUGGGGGAUCGCCGGACCUGGAACUUGAUGGUAAAAGUGAGGACACAAGACACGAAUUUAUACAGGUUCAGGCCAGCAGAGUAGCGUAAUACCUUACGUCCUAUUUGGGGUGUUGUAUAUUGCGCCCUGCGCUUGGGUGUUAUUUGAUAUUGAGGAUUUGGUCCUUUGUUGUGGUCCUCUGUUAUGGUUCUAUAAGGUCUUCGCCUACCGAUCUAGGGAUCUCUGCCCUCGUUUAUGUACUUCAGGAAGUGGAAUUACUGGUCGGUUAUAAGCAUGGUAUGAGUUCCAGUAGGAUUACAGGAAAAUUAUAGUAGGAUUUCGCCUUCUUCCUUCCCUGCUCGGAAGCACUGGGAUCUAUCCCGACAGAAAUAAACUCAACUUAAAAUACAAGUUUAUUAAUUCGUGCGCGUUGAACUAUGGGCGCCAUGAUUGUUGUCAUCGAUGAGCUCGACGUGCGCCAGUGUGCACGCGAGAACAUGUCAGCGAGCAGCCGGCAUGCGAGAACACAACGCUAAAUCUAGCUAGUUAGUGGCUAAAUUAAGUAGAGUACUCGAUCGGCAGCUAGUGGUGCAGCGCGGUAGUAGGUUUGGCGGGGGCGCGCGGUCAGCGCUGCUUCUCGCACACGGCCAUGGAGAUCACUGGAGAAUUCUACUUGCGCCAACGUUCUGUUCGUUCUCACCUGCGCGCGCCCGCGGCGCGGCCGUGUGUGCGUGCGCGUCUACGUGCCGGCGGCCGGGGCGGCAGCCGCCUGGUGCGUCCCCCGCCGACACCGCGCGUGACAGCGACGCGCACGUACGCGAUACGUCAUCCAAGGCCCGUCAAACACCGGGCGUCGCGCGUAAGCGCGGACGUGCGUGGUACGUACGGUGGUGGUGGUUGAUGAGUUAGGUUGCCCGGCCCUAUUUUUACCGUGCCGUAGUAAGAACGGGUCGUGCCAAUCCACUGAAUGCCGUUCGGCUUCUGAAUUGAACGGCGGCGUACGGAAGGUUUUGUGUUCCGCAAAAAUGUUGAGUGGUAAUUUGAGAACAUGGAUUUUUUUUUAAAAAUGUGUAUUUCAACGUAUGGUCUAUCCGGACCAUUAAUUUUGAAACCAACGGUGACAUGAAUCAUGCAUAGUUGAGAAAUCCGAUGGUUGGACGAAUAUCAUAGGAAAGAAAUGCGCCUAAAAGUGCAUGCAGAGAUACCUUUCUCAUAAUUUCUCGAAACGUGUUGACCUAAGUCUGUUCAUGGGCAGAAUGCGUGUGGUUAGUAUAUACUUUAUUUGCCUAAUCCUUGAGGUGCUAUUUUGAUCUUCUAUUUAAAGAAUAGUAAUAAUUUCACAAAACUGCGAAUAUUUGUGCCUACCUAACUAUCAAGGAACUACAAUUUUCUAGGAUUGGUUUCAUAAAUCUACCACCAUUAGAAGCAUCCGUUCCAUAAACCUACAACAAUUUGCAUGGACCCACAUAUCAGCCACACGAAUUACGUGUUGACCUACAUGUCAUUUGAAAUAAUUGAGAAUACAUUACUUGUAGAUCAAGUUCUUUCAUAGUUAGACCUAGAUAGUUGUAAUCACUCCUUUAAAAAUCUAACAGAUUUAUAAGAUUAUGAAAGUAUGUUGAAGACAAAAUCUAGCUACAUUUACGAUUUUUAACUUUUUCAAACAAAAUAUUUUAAAACUUACUAUCAGUCAAAAAUUUUAAAUGCUUGCAUGAUCCGAUGUUGCCCAAAACUCAAAUAUCUAUAAUGAUGAAGGAGCACACAGCUGAUAUGUUGCGUUUAAGAAUUUCUUUGAAAAAUUGAUAUAGCAUCAUCUCUGUAUUUUGCGUGCAUGUAAGUAUCCAUCAUACAACGGGGAACAAACAAUUAAAGAAGGUAUAAAAAUAUGUCGGCAUCCAGGCCACCUAGAUAACACACCUAAUACGGCCACGUAAUUACAGGAAACACCCAGCUUUUUCACCUCAAAGUCUCAGGUGUUUUUCUGCAAUAACGUGGUACACGUACUUUUGCUAGGGAGGCACACCAGCUCGUAAGAACGCCUCCCCAAAAAAAUGUCAAGACUGCAAAAAUCUUGUUUCACUUCACACCUACUAUAUACCAGGGCUACCAUACCAGCUAGUCACCGUGAUUCAUACGUAGACGGCCGUCGUUGUCAAGGUUUAUCGCCGGUCAGCUCUGCACCGUGAUGAGCAAGCUGGAGUCCUCGUCGCCAUGGGGCGCCGCAACCUUGAAACGCGGCGCCGUGUCUUUCCCACCGUCGUCUCCGUUCACAUUGUCGCGGGGCGCGGCCACUCCGGCGAGCACCUGCGCGAGCUCGGCCUGGCUGACCCAGUCCGUGCGGGAGAUCACCACGAGCAUCACGGCGACGCAGGCGGCCUGCGCGGCGAGGAGGCCGAGCCAGAGGCCCCUGAAUCCCUGCCCCGCCCAGAACGCCAGCGCCACGGCCACGGGCGUGCCGACGCCGUAGAACGCGCCGAGGUUGAUGCGCGCGCCGUCCUUGGGGCGCGCGCUCCCGCGGAGCACCCCGCACCCGGUGGUCUGCGGGCAGUUGCCGAGCUCGCACAGCCCGAGGAUGGGCAGCACCGACGCCGUGAGCGCCAGGAUGGAGGCGUCCGAGGUGAACAUGCGCGCCCACGCGUCGCGCACAGACACGGCGAACAGGAACGAGGCGACGCCCUGGAGUGCGCUCAGGGCGAGGCCCGCGCGGGCGGCGGCGCGCGCCGCUGCCGGGCGGUUCGCGCCGAGCUCGUUGCUGACGCGCGUAGACACGCCGAAGCUGAGCGACGACGGGAAGAUGUAGAGCAGGGACGUGGUCUGGAUGAGCACCCCCAUGGACGCGACGGUGGCCUUAGGGUUGGCCAGGAGGCCGCAGAGAAGGAUCAUGAUCUCGUACCACCACCACUCUAGGCAGACGCUGGCGCAGCUCUCGACGGCGAGCCGGGCCAGCCGCAUCCACCCGGUGACGUCCUUGAACAGCUUCUCGGAUAGGGUGAAGCCGCCGGUGGCGCGGUGCACGCCGGAGAAGUAGAUGUAGGCGAGGAGGAGGAGCACGAGGUUGAGGUUGGCCAAGGCGGAGGCGAGGGCGACGCCACCGGCGCCGAAGCCGAGGACCGAGACGAGGACGUAGUUGACGGGGAGGUGCAUGGCGACGGUGAGCACGGCGCAGGCGGUGAGCGGGAAGUUGAUGGACUGGGUCCGGAGGUAGAUGCGGAGAGGGUGGAGGAACGACUGGAAGAGGAGGUCCGGGAGGCAGAGCAGAAUGUAGCGCUGCGCGGCGGCGGCGAUGGCCGCGUCCUGGCCGCACAGCAGGAGCAGCGGCUCCAUGUGCGCCCAGAGGAAGGCGACGGGCACGGACAUCGCGAGGAGGAGGAGCACCAUCCGCUGCAUGGUGGCGCCGACGAGGGGGAGGUUCCUGGCGCCCACGGCCUGACCGCACACCGGCUCCAUGCCCGUGGCGAGGCCGGAGAGGACCGAGUAGCCCGUGAUGUUGGCGAAGCCGAUGGCGAGGGAACCGCCGGCGAGGGCGAGCUCGCCGAGUCGGCCAAGGAAGAGCAUCGAUAUCAUCGGCCGGACGUAGAGUAUGAGGCCCGUCAUGAUCAUCGGCAAUGACAGCCGCAAGAUCGACGCUGCCUCGCUCGUCGGGCCACUGGUCAACGACGGCCUGUCGGCCAAGACCGGCGGCGGCGGCGGCUGCUUCCACGUUGCCACGGUCGUCGAGUCGUUCGCGACAACGACAGAAACGUCCGGAGAGACAACGACCACACCAACCCGACGGCCAUCCCCAGCGCCGCCGUCCUUGGCAUUGCACAGGCACGGCGGCAACAGCUGGCCGACGAGCCCCUCACACAUGGCGGCUGGACGCUUCUUCCGCUGCACGUGUGCGCGCAGAGAGGUUUUGGAGGGAACCAAGGGGGGAUUCAAACGCUAGCAAAAGGCUGAAUUUAUAGGCGGAAAUGGAUAUGAUGGAUCGAUGCAAAAGAGAGAUCGGAGGGGAUUAACAAAGGAUUCGGAGCUGGGAUUAGUUCAGACGGAAGCGCUCGUCGUCUAGCCGCGGAGUGGCUGACACCCACGCUCGCAGCCGGUCUCGGCCGGCCGCGGAUCACCACGUACGACGCGCGCGCACGGGGCGUUAGUUGUUGUAUAUCGCGCGUCCCCUAGCUCGAGGACCAGGCUUCGGGAACCUACGCGGCGGGCUCAGUUGGAUCGCCCCCGGUUGUCCGGAUGGAAGGUGACAAAUGGAGCGAGAGGGAGAGAGGGGUGAGAGGGUGAAGGGAAGGCCUGAAGCCUGAAGGGGGUGAGGAGAAGUGGAGCAGGGCGGGAAGGUAUUUAUACAGGGGAUUCCAGGCCAUGCACGGGCACGGCUACUACCAUCAUGAAAUUUGUUGGCUAAUUACGCGAUUAAUUAUAUAUGGAUUAGAUUAUGAAAGUCUAGGCCCGCGUUUGGAUAUCAGGGACUAAACUUUAGCACUAUCACAUCAAAUGUUCGGAUACUGAUUAGGAGGACUAAAUAUAAGUUAAUUACAAAACUAAUUGCAGAACCCCUAGGCAUAGGCUAAAUCGCGAGACAAAUCUAUUAAGCCUAAUUAAUCUAUCAUUAGUGAAUGCUUACUGUAGCACCACAUUAUCAAAUUAUGGACUAAUUAGGCUUAAUAGAUUCGUCUCGCGAUUUAGCCUAGAGGUUGUGUAAUUAGUUUUGUAAUUAGUCUAGAUUUAAUACUUCUAAUUAGUGUCCAAACAUUCGAUGUGACGGGGGCUAAAAUUUAGCCCCCUCCUCCCAAACACCCCCUAGGUUGAUUUGGAUUAUGUAGUUUCUAUAACAAAAAGAUAGUACUUUUAGAAUUCGUUGUCGGGUUUAGGAGGACAGGAGAAAAGAGGGUUGCAAAAUGGCUAAUAAAAUGGGGUCAAUGCUUGUUUAAUCCUUCUUUCAAGGUGUGUUCUACCGAUUCUUUCUCGUCUUUUCACUUUAUAUGAAAUUGUGCAAGAAAGAUAUGUUGAGAACUUCAACUUGUUUUCUGGCUUUAAUAUUGUACUAUUUUGUUAUUUUGACUUUAGGCACGUAGACUUGUAUAGUAUUGGUGUUUUGAGUUUUGAUAUAUUAUUUUUCCCUCUACCUCGUCACACAUUAAUGUCAUAACAUCAAAUUUGUCCAUCCAUUUGUAGGUCAAGACAUAGCAUAACAAAUUGCAUGCACUCUUGAUGACCUUCUAGAAUGAUUCAUUUUUUUUCCUUUUAGCGAAUAAACUCGGAGGUUUAGUACAAAAACGAGAUGAAAUUAUCUAGAUGGUUACCAAAAAAACAAAUAAUUAAAUAAUUUAUGAAAAAUUGGCAACAUACAUGAAAUUCACAUGCAUGUUGUGUAUUUCAAAUAAUACCAAAAAAGUACAUGCUCAUUUUUUCCAAAAACACAUUACAAAUGCAUACGCUCAUAUACACGCUUUUUAAAUGGAUCACUGAGUGAGAAGUUUAUUAAUUUUUCAUUUUUUUCAUUUAUAUUUGUUUUAGCUACUUUUAGCACCAUCACGUUGUUUUAUCAUGUUCCUUGUUUGGACUGAAGGCAAUAUUUAUUAUUGAAUAGGAAUAAAAAUGUCCUAACAAUUUAGUUAAUAUUUCACUAAUAUUUGUACAAAUACUGUAAACCAUCUACCUUCUACAUUCCUCAUUUGCUGUAGAAAUUAAAAUUUUAAUGUUUGCUUUGAAUUUCCCCCCUUUACGCUGACUUAAAUUAUGUGUAUCUUUGAUAGAUUUUCCCUUAUAUUGACUUGGCUUGGUACAACGUUGGUCAACUAAUAUUUUUCAUAGAACAUUAACAACCUUCUAACAUUUAAGCUGUUAACAGCCGCCAUCCUAGCCAACAUGUUGUACCAUCAAAUCUAUAAGAAUUUUUGAAGGAACAUUAGGCAAAGUUCUGGGAAUCUUGUACAGAGAGGAAACUAAGUUUAAAUAUCCAGAUAUGAUAUAUAAUGAACAGGUUACUUCAUCAGAAACUAAUUAACAGCUCUACUAAAUGUCAACUAUUUUUUUUGAGCUCAAGGAAAAUAAAGUCAGCUAAACUUAUUCUGUAAUAAUAGUGCUUACUAUAGCAAUCAUACGUGCCAUACGUAUCUUGGACCACAGGUGGACCAAUUACGGAGAAUGAGGGAUAUUUCAUAUUAAAAAUCGAAGGGUGUGAAACUUUAAUUUUAAUAUAUCCCUGCAAAGUUUGAUGAGAAAGUUCGGUCAAAUUUAUGAGAUAUUCAAAAGGGCAAACACCUUGAAGACAAUCCGUUAAUUUCAACGUGCAUUAGAUAUGCACGCUGAUUUAGUCAUUUUAAGCAAUUCUGUCCACAUUUUGCCUUUUUGUAGGAUAUAACUCCCAUUUUGGUGGAAGUGAGGAAAAGAACAACCUACGGAUCAUUUGCGCUACUAUUUUUUCUUCCUCAACAUUUCUCUUGAACAAUUUAAUAUUCGGUUUCGGAAUUCUUCCAUUUUGGCGCUGGAGAAACUUCUCCCGGCUUGUAAGUGCACAGGGGGUUAGAGGAUGCCAACGUGGCGCCCUAAAGGACCCAUGGACUUUGCCUGAGGGCAAUCUGUCGUCUGACUCUGUAUUAGACGAAUUAUCAACUAUCUGACUAAGGAAAGAACUCGUAAAGUGCAAGGUGACCUGCACGCCUCGCCUAUUUGAUUUGUGACUCCAUCACGGUACUUGAAAUACAUAGAUUAAACUUUGUCCUGGCCACGUCAGGACAAUAAUCACAUGAAUCGUAUCAGCACCACUCGAGGAUUAAGGUUCAAUGCUAACUGUAAUUGUUGGGUAACCAAAGAGAGAGUGUUGUUCACGAGUAGUUUUCCGGUGACAAUGUGGUGUUGCGGUCAUAGCAGCUGUUUGUGCGGUUGUCUCUCUAGACGAUUACCAACCCAGGAGAGGAGAGAACGCCUCAACGCCUGGCAUUGACCUGCGCGUUGCGCUGCGACUGGUGUGGCUCUCCGAUUUGUCCUGUCAAGCUGACCAAUGGACUGGUCGUCAGUCCUGGGCUCCUGGCCAAAGCCGGCUAGAGCUUUCACCUGGUUGCCUAUCAGUUUCACCUGGUAGCUAAUCAACUGGCACGAUUCGCGCAACCCUUUUGACCGUUCCUCAUCAACUCCCAAGUCAUGCUUCCCGCCAACGAGCUGGCUGCCAAAGUUUCCGAACGGAUCUCACUGUUUCAGACUGAGUCGCAUGUGGUGUGCUUAACAAAGCCUACUCGAGACUCAAACAAGAAAUCUUUCGGAUACAUACGGACUGAGUUAGUGCAGUACACGCUUCUGUUGUAGCCUUCUAGGGCAAGAGAGUGUGUCUCACUGAUGGUCUGAUGCCUACUGCUCGAGCAUGCCAACCUUCUUCUAGAUGGCAGAUCGAUUGGUCGUGUUCAACAGGUAUGAAACUGUGAACCGAUCGAGAUGCCUGCCCAUCUCGCCCGUCAAAGAAAGGGAUUGAUGGUAAUGGAAUCACUUGCCUCCUAGGAAGCAAACUAGAGGAGCUUUUACAAGUCCAUCCGGUAGAUACUGUCACAAAGAUUGCAGCAGCUAGCACGACUUGCCGACUUGGCUCCUUCAGAGGAAGUGUUCGACAACAUUGUCACAGCACAGGUUGAGCAUCAGACACCAGCACACCUGUUGAGUAUUCCCCAUGUCUAGACGGAGAAAAAAACCGCUCUGAAAACGUGUGACGCUGAGUCACUGACCCGCGCUUGUCACCUGACUGCGCUGCGUGAAAUGCGCGGACGCAGUGCCAGUCGCCAACGACGACGGCUGCUUGCUGACGAUGCAUGCGGUCGCUGGAUGGCGGUAGCAUAUCCAGUUAGUGCAGUGGCAUGGGGAGACGGAGAUUCAGUUCGCAUGCUUAGCUCUCUGGCGUCGUGUGUCCUUGAAAAUAAUUUUAGAUCCGGGAUCAAACGAUAAUAUGGUAACAAGCUGUUAUGAAUGUGCAUAGCUUUACACAUGUAGUGAUGGAUGGAUGAUUAUUUGUAUGUGGAAUUAAUUCGCCCGGUUAUAUAGUCGCCGCUCUUGAUAGGUGGAAACCUGAAAGAGAUGUAAAAAUUUAGAAGCAUGAGAAGCAACUGCAAAUGGAACUGCCAAAUGUUAAGGUGAGAGAUGAGGACCUCGGUGGAUCUGCCUCGCUGCAACAGCUUUCCAAGCACUCAACCACUGUAUCAGAGUUUGGGUCAAGAAAGAAAGCCACCUGAUCACAUUCAAAAACCUGUGUAAAGGGCUAUUCUGCUCCUUAAACGCGAGCUGAAAUUCUUUAAGUAGGAAAUGUGAAUAUACUCACCGAAUACCGCUCUUUACCAACAGCAACAACACGAUGCAGUGUAGAUCUACAGGUUACAGGUUAACGCAUAAGCAUAACAAUCAAAUUCAUAUCCAAGGUUUUCUUGGAUAAUGAAUCAACACAGGUGAUGAAGGAUGAUACCUGAAAACACAAUUUGUCCACCUUUCUAGCAAGUCGCCAAUAUUAACAAUAAGGGCCCUACGAGCAACGCAAGAACUGAUAAGAUCAUACUGUACCUGCAAGCAAUUAUCUGAAGAACAGUAGAACACCCAAACAGAGGUCUAGAAGUUAACAGAUAACAAAAUAUUCUCUGUAGAUGGCACCAAACUGCUAUAUUAGAGUUUCUAUUCAUGGAAUCCAUAAAAUGAGCAUUUACCCAUCAAUGUGAUGAACAUCUUCCCAUAGCUGAGGAUCCCUAUCCUUCUCCCUGCAUAUCUGCACAAUCCUAACAACGUAAGAAACCAUAACAUAAUACAAAAUAUGAUGAUUGAUGAAGCCACCUUGUCUACUUCAUUAAACAAGAGCUAAUGUUCCAUUUGGGAGUGGCAAUAGUACAUGAGUGAUUAGGUACAAAAUUUGAACAAAACUGAAGGCGAUGAACUAAAUUGUUUCAGAACAGAUAGUAUACCUGCAAGCCAGGAGUACCAUCUGUUACUAAAAGAGUUAUUGCACCAUAGUCUGAGUGAGCUGAUGCACCAUAGUUUCCACUAUCAGACUCAUUUACUUCACCUGUGUUGAAUCAAUAAAAUGGGAAUACUAUGUAAGCACAUAACACAAAGUUGCUCAAUGGCUCCAUAAUACAAAAGGAAAAGAAAACACUCAGAUUAUCAAGACUACAGUGCCUAGAAGAAACUUAAAGACGCCCUGUGCUUUUGUCUGUCUGUGCCCCCACUUACCGUAUAAAAGAAGACCAGAAAACAAAGCUACACAGCAAGCUUAUAUACCUUACAUCCACAUUGCUUAAGUGAGUAUCCUUCAGUAACGAAGGCUGCACUCCAGUACACAGCAGUAAGAUGGAUACUUUGAACUAUCAGCAAGAGAGGUGCACGGCUCUGCAUAUCAUCUGCUGGCAGAUGCUAGUACACUAACUAUGAACAUGUUCAAAUAAAUUGAAAGUAUUUUUUAAUAACAUAUGGAUUUAAGUUCACACCAGUUUCAGUAGAAAAUAAUGAGAUCAUGCAAGUAUAAAUAUGUGACUGGCCCUUUCCAGUAAAUAUUUAGUGGACACAUUAGUUAUGCUCCCCAGCCCCAACCAGGCAAGCAACAAAAACUAGGACAAUGUCUUCUUAAUUCUUUAGAGUAACAUAGGCAUCCAUAUAUGUUCUAUAGUAGAACAAAUUUGCUAAGCAUUCAAGAAAAAAAGAAGACCUGUAUUUCCAUUUGUGUAGUUUCGCUAUUAUAAUUAUCUACGGGAGCAUGAGAAAUUCGUAAAGAAGUGCUGGACCAUUUGAGAAGAAUCACAAAAAAAAAGAUCAAGAAUGGAGUGCGCCAUUUCAAAAAUAUUACAAUAAACUUUGAUUCUUCCCUAUUGAUAUAGAAAAAAAAUGGAGUACUGUAACCUGGGUAAUGUAAUAAACGAAGAAAUGUUGACGGGCAGUCCAAUGCACCAAUUUUGUGAAAGAAUUCAGCAUCCAAAUCCAAACCCAAAGCAAUUAGAGAGAGUAUCCUUUCGCCAGUAUCCCUAAUAGGGAAUAACCAAUAAUAAUAAUUAAUAGACAGUUUAUCAGAUAUAUAAAUGUUUCUUCCAGAACUUUCUUUUUUAGGAAUCAACGUUUUUCUAAAGCUUACAGAGCAGUUGCAAUGUACAACUUCAUUGUCUCCUUCCAAGACGGAAAGCGCUCUACCGAUAGCCAAAAAAAAGAAGGAAAUGUUAAAAGCAUAGGCUACUGAUAACAUGAAUGAUGUCCAUGGAUAUGAUGCAGGCUGACAGACAGCAUUAUUAUCAGUUGUUAACAGAUGGCAAAGCAUAUAAGAACCUUCAGAAGGCCAUUGGUUUAGAUCAUUCUGAAGAUCACUGUCCCCAAUAGGCCCAAUGUAGAAACUCUCCUUGAGGUCUCCUGUAAUAUCACAAUUCAGAAAAGCAAUAGUAGAUUAAACUAUACAUUUUUUUAUGAAACAUAUUUUUUUAGCAAAAGAUCUGCUUCUCUUACAUAGGUAUAUUAUUACAGGGAGGAGUCAAAAGCUCCAAAAAUCGCCUAAGAGCAGAUUCAACUAUAUCACUAAAAGCACCAGAAAUGUAAGUGGUAAUGGUAAAGUCUAUGAAAUGCAGCUGUAGCUUCAAGCUACAUGUGACAAUGACAUGCCGAAUGGGUUCUUCAGUACUUAUCCAUUCUCCAUGGAAUUAUCCUGAACCCACUGUAUCUAGUCCCAAGUUUCACACACAGCCAAAUCAGUUAACUGAAGCAAGGCAGGUUCCACGAUAUGAAUUUUGUAGCUACCACCAGGAGAAAACGAGCAAUAACGACAUAUUUUCUGACAUAAACAGGGACAUCAUGGUUCUAGUUCAGUUUUAGCUAUCACAGCCGGUGAGCCAUUCUAUACAACAACAAACUAAAUGCUAUGGAAACACUGCCGGUGGAAACAGUAAAUCCUCCAAAUUUUCUAAUCUUAAGAAGAGUACUAAUUUCCAUCGGUGAGGCACUCCGGCACCACCUGACCACUUGCCGUUAUUAAAAGUUUAAAACACCUGCCAUGUACUAAGCAACAGCAGUGACAAUUUUAGUGCCCAGACCAAAAUUCGUACACCAAGUGCAGAGGAGAAGCAGACGAGGCCAGAGACAUCCAACCUACGAACUCGGAAGCGGCGUCGAGCUUCUCGGCGUAGGGCGGCGUGUACCCCCGGUGGUUGGUCCUAUGCAGCUUCAACUUCUCCUCCAUCGGCAGGUCGAAGAACCCCUUGCUCUCGGCCAGCACCGCCUCGACCAGGGCGCGGUCCACUCCGUGGUUGGUGACGUAGAAGAACCCGUGCUCCACGCACGCCUGCACGAACCAGAUCGCUCGUUAGAGACGCGCGUGCGCGCUCGGUCGCUGCGCCCACGAAGCAGAGAGACAUCGCUGGAGGCGCGGGGAGUUCGAAGGCACGGGGAAUCGAGCGAGGUCACCUGGCGGACGGAGGCGGCGGCGGCGCGGAGGUCCGAGGACGCGAGGUCCACCACGGGGAGGUCCACGCUCCCCGACAUCGCCGAUCUCUGAGCUGCAGCGGAACCGGAACGGAAGCGCUGCUGAUUUGCUGCCGUGGUGGCGUGGCGUAGCUGGAGUUGGGGACUGCGCUGCGCCUCCAUUCAUUUGGGCGGGCUGCAUCUAUGUGUCGGCAUGGGCUGAAGUCAGCACUGGGCGUGGGCUGAAACUUGAUAGCAGGCUUACUGCGUAUGCGCAAAAGCCCAAUAGUGUUUUUUUCCGGUCGAAAGAGCACGUGCUGCUGUUUGGUUGAAUUCUGGAUCAACCUUACCAUCGCACACACCGACUGCGUCACCUCACUACCUCAGCAGUCGAGACUCGAGACUUGUCAGUUGCCCAACCUCCACCGAAUUCCAGUGCUAUCACACCCGGAGAGAUCUCUCAAGUAUCCACAGUCAGCAGUCACGUAGUAGCAGACUAGCAGUCGAGACUACGCUCGAGUGCAUGACCACACCAGGGUGAGCUCGACACGAAAAGGACUCGCGGCACACCGCGCGCACCCGCAUCGACGUGAUAGCGUUUCGUCUCGUGACGAAGCGACGAGGAGGCAUUCUGGAAUCCGGAUAACUUGCGCGGCUCACUCUGCUUACACGGUGGCUUCUUCAACUGCCUCCCCACUCCAUUCCAUGUGUGACUGAAAGUGAGGUAGAGCCAAGCGAAAGGGAAAAUGGAACGGGGCCAGACCCCCACGCAACAAUCUCCCAGAGCUCGAUCCGGAGCCGGAGGGCACGCACAUCGCACAUGCCUUCACUUUCCCAGGCCCCGCGCCUUUCGUGUCCGCCGACGAAAGCCUCGGCGAAAGGGCUCGCGCUGCCGUGCCUCUUCCGGAGCAGCGCCACCUGCCGUGCCAUUGCCAUGCCUCUCACCUCACCCUGUCACCGAACACGACCGGACGAGAGCAGGACGAAACCGUGAUUAGAUUAGAUUCCAUUCCAUCCACUAGGUCCUGCGCUUCCAUCAGGGGGUGAGAACAUUUUCAGAAAAGAAAGGGACGUGUGCUCGGCUAAUCUGGGCUAGACUACCUUCGCAGCGACGCAAGCAAUAAUGGUGAUGGACCGUGCCUACGAGAUCGAGGGUUGUUGAGAUACACUGUGCACAAAAAGCACAGGUUGUUCACAAACUGAAAAAAGGCGCUACCUUUGAUCCAUUGAGGUGGUGCAGUGUAUCUUUGCCUCCACCAUCCAGCUUCUCUUUUACUUCUCUCCGAGAGGAACUAACUUCUCUUUUACGGUGUAUAUGGCCACAGCUAAUUAGUAUAUAUAGCCAUGAUCCAUUGAGUGUGAAAGCGAAACUAUGCAAGUGACAGACAUCAUCAAACAAAAAAGGAAAGUCCUUGCUAGAGUCCUCCAAAGAAAAUUACGAAUUGAUGGGGAGUCCUCAAACAACAAAUAUCAAGGUCUAGUUUUGGGGGUUGCUUCGUUGUCCAAGCUCCUGCUUCAAGCUUCAUUAACAAUUGUGCACCAAGGUAGGCAGUGCACAAAGAGACAGUAACUCCUGUCCGGAUUCUUGGUAGCGUUCAUAACUGAGCUGGGUGGUUUGUUUUGCCUUGCUGGAAAGAAGAAGAUGCAGCCAUCCUGAAUGAGGGAGGAUUUUAAGCACAUCAUCACCCUACGGUUUCCGGCAAGAGGCCGGAAAAGACGGUGGGUGUUUCUAACCGCUACAAGACCAGUUGGUGACACUGAAUGAACUUUUUUCACUAAUUUCUGGUCCUAUGCUCCUACAUCAAAUGGAGUGGAACACUACACCCGCUGGAUAGCUCACAAAGCUACCACAACACCAUCCCAAAGUGACCGAGACCAGGCCCCAACUGCAGUCACUAACAAUGUGCACUCAAAGUCUGCUGAUGGCCCUUCCACUAAGACAGCAAAAGGACUGAAGCCUCCACUAUAUAAAGAACAGGAAGCACCGCUGCUGGAAAGGAGCCAGAGCUACCAAAAGCACAUCACCCUGAAGAUUUGCAGAGCCAUCUCCGUGAGCGGAGGGCCGGAGGGUCGGAGAGAUGCUGGUGUUGGACUUGGGCGUAUGGUUCAUCCCACUGACGCUCGUCCUCGUCCCGUGCCGCCGGAUCGUGCUUCUCCUGUCCAGGCUCGAGGAGCUCCGCCGGAUCAUGGCGCGGCCGAGGCUCGCCACCGCGGACAUCUGGACCCGCUUCGCCACCCUCAACUCCAUGGCUUUCAUGGUGUGAUGGUACACACGCCGCCGCCGCUCCAUCCAUAGCUGUUUCCUCAUUGGUUGGGUGUGCUUUGCUGUCCUGGUUUUUGGCUUAUCACAAUAAGCCCCAGCUUCUGGGAAUGAUAUGUACAUACGGCUACUUACUUUUAGGACUUGCCGCAGCAUGUGUAUGUGGGACGAGAUGCAGAUGAGGACUUUAUUUACAGUGCUUCUGACAAGAGUUUCCUGAUCUUUAUAUGAUGCGUGUAUACUUGCUUCAAUUUCAACCUGAGGUUUUUCUGAACAAGCAUGCUUUUGUAGUUUUUGUUAUCGCCUGAUGAUAGAAUUUUCUGCAUAUCUUGAGUUGUUAUCAGUUUAUCACCUGAUACAAUAAGAAUAGUUGGCAGAGCUGGAUCUUUCAGGGGAAGGGAUAAAAGAUGCAGUGGGCAAAUUAUUGCAUCAGUCGGCAUGAACAGGCCUGAGAAGAUAAGGAUCAAGCUGGGCAGAUUCUGCUGAUUUUGAAAAGCAUCCCGUGCUUAGAUAACAUGAGAAGCCGGUCGCUGUGAAACGGAACACUGGACAGCAGACCAAUAUAAUAAGUGGUCUACCUUGGACGAAUGUCUUCCUUGGCCCCCUAAAAGAAAAGAUAUACAUUGUGCUGUCAUCGUUUAGAUGAUGAUAAGGUCGACCCACAGGCCACUAGAGCACAAACUCCACCGAGGCACUGAACAAUGCCUAAACUAGACUCAUCAUUCUGCAAAAGAUGUGCCUUACCAACAGUCAACUGAUCAAACUGGUUUUCGAUAGCCGUGCGUGUAAGGAAGGAGGAAACUAGGGAUGGCAACGGGGCGAGUCGGGGUAGGGUGAAGCUUCCGCGGACCCACCCUCGAAACACGAAUUGUAAAUACGUCCCGAACCGAAACACCAAUUGGGUGGAAAUGUUGCCCCGACCCC
rnacentral:lncRNA from 1 species